AAUCAGCUAUCUUAGAUCAGAAAAUAUAUUCAUCUCAAAAGUGUUCAUAAUGAUAGCAACAUGUAAUCCUCGAGAUGUUACUGGAAUUAGCUUUCAUUUUGAUUCUGCGUGGACUUUGUAAGAAUGUUUUAAAAAUCGGACCGUUAAUUAAACCGGUGAAGUGAAAGGGUCGAGAUUCAAUCGAUCGGACCGAUUUAACUCCGAUUCAAUGAAUUUUUUUAAAAAUAAUUUAUAUAAAUAUACAUGCAUAAAAUAAGACAUAUAAUGGAUAAUUUAAUACUUUAUAUGAUGAAAAGUUUAUUAUUUUUGAAUAACCUGGAUUUUUAAAAAUAAUUUUUUUAAAUUAUAAGUUAAAACAAAUAAAUUUAAUCUCAAUUUCAAUUAUAUCUACCCAAAAAAUCUUAAAUUCAAUCCAAAACUAUCACAAUAUUUUAAAAUUAUACAAAAUUCACGUCUAUGAGAAUUUAGACAUUUUGAACUUAAAUUUUAAUUUACGUUUUGGAAUAUAGAGAUUGCAAUAUAAAAAAGGAAGUUUGGAAUUCGAAAAAAAUCAAGAGAAUCAAAAAUAGAAAUACAAAUUGGAUUCGAAACAAGAAAUGAGAUAAAAGUGAGUGGUUGUGGAAUUAAAUAAUUUGGGUUAAAGAAAAAUAAUUCUUUUUUAACUUUUUUUUAAUUUAAUGAACAAAAACAAAAUUAAAAGAUGAAAUAAAACAUUAAUAAAUUUAAAAUAAAGAGAUUUGAUUAAAAAAGGAAUGACAAAAGAAAAGAUGAUACAAAGAGAGAGAGUUGAAGGUUAAAAAUAAAGAGCAAUGAGAGGAUGAGAUUUUGUAAAAAAAAAUGGAACAAAAAAAAUAAAAAAAAAGGAAAACUUGAAAAUCGAAAACCACCGGUUCAAAUCCGGUUCGACGGUUUCACGAUUCAACCGAUUUUUGACCGGUUCUCUGACAAAAUCAACCAUAGCAUUGAACCUGACCAGUAUCAUGGUCAGUUUGCGGUUCAAUCGGUCGAACCACCGGUCCGAUCCGAUUUUCAAAACACUGAUGUGGCGGCAUCGCUUCAUUACCAACUUACUACCCUCAUAGUCAAUUAGCAAAGACAAGUACAUCGCCUGCUGCUGCUGCUUCUAUUGAUAACUUGUUUCUUCCUCAUCAUCCUUGCUUGAAAGUGUUUUUUGAUCGAAUACAUCUGCACAGAACGGUUUGAUUGCACCACAUUGGGUCCAAAAAACAGAUGCCACCAGGGAUGGUCGCUGCACUAUGAAUAUAAAUACCCCCUUUGAUUCAUUUUGAUUGUAAGUUAACUUUUUGGAAGAGUAAUUCUAACUGCUAUUGUUUUAAAAUAUCUUUACAUCAAUAUUAGAGGUAUGACUAAAUAUUAUAUUUUACAUUAACUAUAACAAUAAUAUUAAUAAAAAUUACAUUAUUCAACGCAUUAAUCAAAGUAAUUAUUGAAUAAGGUAGGUUACGCUCACUGAUAACAAAGUAUAUUAAAUUAGAGUAGUUUAGAGAAAUUACAAAUUAACUAUUAUUUUCAAUUGGAAAGUGAAUCAUAAUUUGGAAUGGAUGAAAAGGAAAUACAAAACAAGACGAUCAAAGCGGAGCGAAGGCAGUGUGUAUACUUGCAACUACUAACUACAAUGAAGUUUCCGGACUGCUAAUUAUGACACAAAGGCCAUCUUCUUCCUUGGUUCUUAAGCUGAUGGUAGACAAAGCCGCACCUUAAAAUUUACUCAUUCUCGUCGAAUUUGAUGAAUCAAAACACGACCCCACGCUCUCGCAUCAACCAUAUUAAGCGCACAAAAACUAUUGCACCCGGUUAGUAUGGUUUUCCGUCUUGAAGGGUUGAAUGAGAGAGAGGCAACUACAAGCCAGUCUUGAGCGCAAUUGUUUGUUUGCUAAGUUGGAAGUGCGAUUUGCAUGGGACAAUGGGAAUAGGGGAACAAGAAUCGAUGAUCGACCAUCUAAUGUCCAGAACAACCAUGACAGGUAUCACUACUGUGUUCCCAGAGUUCAUAUUUGUAGUUCACAAAAAAGGUCUCUUAGCCAACCUGUUUCCAUAAACCGUCGGAAAAUUCAGAGAAUAACUUCAGCUCCUGAAAAUUCACAUGUGCUAUGCUGGUUGAAUGCAGCAAGAAUAAAGGGUAUUCCAAAAAUUCCUAUUCAGACUUCGUCUUGAGAUGGUACGCAUCACCAAAAAUGAUAAUAUGAGAGGCUAACGUUUUCAACUAAUGACUAGCACUGCAAUUUAGUUGUCGACGUGAUUGCAAGCAAGCUCGCGAGGACAUCUUGACCUUCUUACGAAGAUACCACAAAUGGAAUGGAUUUGGAAGAGAAAAAAUGCGCAGUUUCUCGUACUAAAGUUGCUGCUUCCUUGAUACGCGCCAUCAUAGUGGAUAGCUCCAUUCAUACUGCAGCAGGAUAACUCUUAGCUUGUGCACCUUGUAUCCCCGCUUCAACAAAAUGCCGGGCAUCAGUGCAUCCAAUGCUCCACCUUCUUAAUAUUGCUUUACAGACAAUCUCUCUGAUAACAAGCAAGGAUAAGCAAACAUAUCAAACGUCAGAGUAUGAAACCAUCUUAUGCAGUUUUUUGAAUCUAAAAUUACACUUCAGAGAGAAAUGUCAAUAAUGAGAAUUGAUAUGCAGAAAGUGAUGCCUUUACAGUCCUGUCAAAUUUAAGACGUUUAACAGUUGGUCCGUAUGAAAACAACCAAGGGUGAUGAAAUGUAUGAUUAUCAAAGUACAAUGGCACCUUAUGCGCUUCUGAAGUCUAAAUUAACAAUUAAGAACUGAAUCUCAAUAUUGGAGAACAGAGAAGCAGGGAGGAGGGACGAUUGCCAGUUCUGUUGGAAUACUGAGCUGUCCUCGACAGCCCAAGGCAUACAAAGCAGUCACUUCAUUUCUUGCUAACUUACAAGUAGGAAAGGACAAUCACUGCAGAAAGAUAUGGUGGUUAAGGCAUCAGAGCCAAAAAAUAACAGUCCAGUGAGAAUGGAAAGUAGCAUAUGGAUCAUCAGAUCAGUAUCCACCAAUUUGAUAUCUUAAAAUUUCAGUAACACUUUAUGUUCUUUCAAAACUAAAGAGUAGGGAGAGAGCAUACUUAUGAGUUCAUAUGUCACGAUCAUUGUUGUACCAUAGAAAGACAUAUUUAAGAACCUAGGUGCAAACCCUCUAUAAAAUCCUCUCCAGCCAUCUUCUUUAAGAAGUGCCCUAGUGGUCUUCAUUACUGAUGGUCUUCCGACACCAUAAUCAUCAAUUACCUUCAAAUAAAACCCACAAAAUUAAGUAUAGCAAUGACAAUAAACAUGCAUUCUGAUCCUGUAGUCAGAGAAUUUAACAAUGCACUGAGAUUUGGUACCUGAAGCCUUGUCUUUACAGUAUCUAAAGGGGUAGUAACAAUUGAAGAACAUGCACCGGCUACCAUUCCUGCUGUAGCCUGGACAGUAACCAUCUGUAAAUGAGAUGGUUUCUGUUGCAUAUCAUCCCUAUAACCCAGGCUCCUGAAGUCAUAAAGUAAACCCAAAGAAACGUUUCAGCAUGAACGACUUCUAGAUAUAAUAAGAGAGUGUAGCAAUUAUACCACCAAGACAUACGUCCAGAUCAUGUGCUGAGCUGCCCCAUAUGCUCCCCACCAAAGUGCUGAUGCAGGGGUUUGAGACAGAGCUGUUAAUCCAAAGCCUCUAUACAAACCACGAAUUCCUUCAACCUUAGUAACUUUACGAACAACAUCAUAUGGACCAUUGCAAGAAGUAGUCCCUGGAAGCCCUUGAACCAUUAGUCGCUGGCAGAUCUGAAAUGUAAACCCCAAAAUUGGGGAGGAACAACAUGCAGUAUUUAACAGAGUGAACAAGAAAAAUUCAGAGAAUCUUUUCUCGCACUCGGGUUCUACUGUUCACAAAGAACGUUCUAAUCAAUUAACUUUCUAGGUAAUAGUACAAAAACUUUCAGAACUCAAGCACCAAGACAUGUUUCACUGGGUUGGUGUAAAUCAAAAUUUCAAGUUCAAUACUUUCUUACUUGCUUUAGGUCCUCUUUCAGUCUUCCAGUAUUCUUCUCCCUCUUUUGUUUUAGGGGUGCGGGGUAGGGACGAUUAGCAUUAAUCAGAAACACAACAAAAUUCAGUUUCUGGCUGUAACUCUUCCACUCAACAAAGAUUCUUCAAUCUUUGAUGAUUUUAACAAUACUUAUUAUGGUCUUACAACAAUUGACACAAGCCAGAAGACAAUAAAAUCAGAAAUCAAAUUAAAAGAAAUCUUUGAAUGCAGUCUUAAGAGGUAGUGUACCUACCACCUCUAAAGGGACGAAGUAUACACAUGAAACUAUAUUUGAAAACAUUCCAGCAACCGCGUUUGCGAUGCCAACACGAGUAGCUUCUGGCACAUCUAGACCUUCAGUGCAUUUAAACAUCAUAUCUUUUGAUACUUCAAGUGAAGUGAGAGCCAGGACUCUGCCUGGCAACGAUCCAAUUGCAGAUGUACCAAAACCUCUAAAUAUGCCAGGUAGACCAUCACUCUUGAUUAUGUGUUUGAACACAGACAUUCCGUUCACACGGGAGAGACCAGAAGCAGCUACUUGCAUCCUUGUCUUGACAACUGCAGUUGGGUGUAUUAAUGCUGACUGAGCAGUAAAGAGGAUGGCCCCAAUAACGUGAAACCUUGUCUUAUCCAACCUAAACUCAAGGCACAGCAAGCAUCAGGGAUAGCUCAAGAUUUCUAGAAUGUAAUUUACGAGCGGAUAAACACAUUUUGUAAAGCACUAAACAGAUAAUCGGAAUAGGAGAAUGCAGGAGAUACUUAAUCCUGAAGAAUGAAGAAAAAUGAAAUGCACGUUGUGGUAAAUAGAGACUAAGAAGCAAGUCCUUGAUACACGUAGUUUGUCAGGAUCGCAUUUUGUAAAGGGCUAAAGUACAAUUCGAAAUGCAGUGAGACAAUUUGGAUAAGAGCAUAACUUUGGUUUUCGCUCAUAAAAUAAACUUUCAUUCGAACCAUCAUCUGCAAUCCAGGAAUGAAUGAUACAGACAAAAGCGUACAAAAAAGGUGAUGAUCAACAGUCUAGGGAAGCAAGGAGUACAAAUAACGGGAUCGGUGUCGUAUCAUAAAAAGCAAGACUGUUUACGAGUUGAAUGAUAUGGCAAUCUCGAAACUUGUAUGGAAAAGAAUUUUUUUUUUUUUCAAUUGCACCACAUUGUACGUAUGUGAUGACCCUAAACUCUAAGAAGGCAGCCAGGCUUGGCCCUGGAACAUUUUUUUUUUCUUUUUGGUUGGGGGGCAUGAAAUCAGCAUCAGAAUAGUAAGUAGUAAUUAACAAGCAGCGUCAUUCGUGAUGAUCACCAUUACUUGCAAUUCAUCAUCAUCAUCUUCUUCUUCUUCAAAAGUGGCAAAAGAGUUGAUGUUUGCAAAACUCAUGCCAUCUCAUUUAUUUGACAUUGCAAGAUCCAAAAUUUUCAAACAUAAUUAUACCCCACUAGUGAAAAAAAAUGGAAAAGGAAGUUUUUCUUUUCCCUUCUUAAACAAAACAUAGUGAAUCGAAUAAUUGAACAGCAAAAAUAUCAAGUGGCUUUUUUUUUUUUUUUGUGCAUUAAUAAGUAAAUAGAGCGAGUUAAAGCCUGAGGAGGGAAAAAAUAAAAAGACAGAGUUGAGAGAGAAGAAGGAAUAAGCGAGUACCUGUCCCAGUGAAUGUUAGUGUCGGCCAGAGCCAGCUCUGAGGGGCGACUCCCUACUGCUUCUGUUUCUACCGCCAUUUGUUUCUCCCCCGUAUUUGUAUUGUAUACUAAUAGCAAAAUAAUACUUAUUAGUAAGAGGUUUGGCCAAAACAAAUCAUACGACUAUAGGAAGGAUUACUACUGCUCCUUUCUACUCCCACCGGUGCCUCCAGCCAAUUGGAGUUGAUUAUCAGAAGAAGAAGAAGAGAGGCAGAAAAGACGGCAACACUUUAAGAAAAUUAUUGUUGCAAUACGCUGCUGGUGCAAAGCUUGGGACCGAAGGAGGGAAAUUUUACAACAAUAUAAUAAUAAUAAGAAAGCUUCGGAAGGUUCCGGGGGUCCCGGAAUUCCGGAAACUGGGCUACGCUUAUGUUGUUUUUAAUUUUUUUUUAGGGAUAAUUGCAGAAAACUCCCUUGACAUUUCUGACACCGGCACUCACCUCCCCUAUCUAUGGUUUUAAGACAGCAAUGACCUCUCCUGGGAGGAAAUUGUGGCCCAUUGCAGACAAAAGAUUGUGAAAAUAAACCUUUAUACCUUGAUGAACGAGUUGUGCAAAAGAAGCCGCCUAUUUAUCGCUAACAAAUUAACUAAUUAAAUUACCUGUGAGUUCUAACAUGUUUAGACUUCUAACAGGUUUAGGCAGCAUAAGCAUGGCUAACCAACCAAUGGCUCCAAUUGAAGAGGAAGAUGGCGCCAUGAAUUGGUGCACCAAUCUGUGAAUGACAACUUGAGAGUUGUACAUAAGGGAAAAAGUAUGUUGGUUCUACUUAGUUCACGAGAGCCAAAAUAACAGUGAGAGAAUAAACAAAAUAGGCAGCUGUAAGCAAGCAGAAUCUAAGCAUUUUGUUCAGAAACUUUGCAAGAAUCACAAUCAUACAGGUAAAUGUUCCUUGCUGUAGCCACUUUAAGACAUAAAUUUUGCAUGUUAGUUGUUGUAUGAUAAAAUGCCAUCCCUUUAACCUUCAGUACAUUCACAAGUUAUCAACGAUGAAAAAUGAAUGGAUGAUGUAUCAUCACUUUAACGCUUAUUGAUGAUUGAUGGAGUAUGUUACUGAUGAUUAAUGGCAUAUGAACGGAUGAUGUAUCAUCACUUUAACAUUUGCUGCUCUGUUUGUAGAUGCGCCUUUUCUUGAUCUUCACUUUGCUUGUAUUAGCACAUUGUAUCGGUCAUUGUGUGAGUUCAUGGCUAGUUUGUGAUACAAAUUUACAAGAUUGCAGUAUUCAAAAAUGCAGUCAAUAAUAAUCGUCACUCUUAAAACUAUAAGAUGGCUCUCCUUCCUACUCAUGACAUAACUGUCCAUUAUGAGGGGGAAAAAAAAAAAAAGAAGAGAGAAUCUCAAAUGUUGAUCAAAUUGGUAACUUGUUAUGUGAUGCUGUCGUUAAAGUAUUUAGUCAAGUCUCUAGGCACGUGAAUAUGUUAUUGCACGUGAGGUGUGAAAUUCCUGAAACAGGUGGCAUGUUUGAUAUAAUUGAUGGUGGAUUUUGUUAGUGAAAUGUUCGAUAACUUGCAAAUCUAGCCAUUUGUAACCCAAGCCCAAUUUCAGACACCACCGGUCCAAUGAUUGAGUUGACGUCGGUGGCUUGGUGGUGCUGUUGCUCUUGCUCUUGCAUUUGCGCGUACACUACUAUCUCCGGUGGUAUAUUUAUUAUACAGUAAGCAUUAUUGUACCAUUCCAGAUAUGCGGUAGACGACGGACCUCAUGAUAACGACGUCGUCUUUUUCAGUUUUCAUUCCCUCCCAUGGCUUCUAAUAAAGAUAAAGAAGAAGAGACUAGACUAGAGAAGAGAAGAAUUUUAUUCUCUCCCUAAAUUUUCGUUUUCCUAUUUUUUUUUUUUUUCUCACCCAACAAAGCGCAAUGGAUGUCUCUUUUUCAUAAAUAUCAUAUUUAAGUAUUUUUAUUUUUUUAAAAUUCAAUAACUAUUAAUUUAAUAAUAUAUAAAAUUUAAUAAAUUCCAAAAAUUAAAAUACAUAAAAAUGAUUUUUAUUGUAUUUUAAAUUUUUUAUUAUAUAUAUAUAUAUAUAUUUUUUUUUUGAAGCUAUUGUACUUAUUUGACCCACCCUCCUCCACCCAGGGACGCUUGCUAGGGUUUCCUUAACCGCGUCCACUUCCAAUUAUUAUUAUUUAUUUACAGCCAUAAAUCCACGAAUGAAUAUACAUAUGUAUAGACGGAUAGUUAUAGGCAUAGCAGAAAAUUAUGCGUGCCAAAAUCAAUUGUAAUAAAUUGGAUACAAAAUCAUCUAAAUUUGAGUCUGGAACCACAACGACAACAGCAACAGCUCUGGUUCAGCAGGAGGUGAAGGCAGUCAACCAUGGCUUGAAUCUUCUCUCCUCUCUAUCUCUCUCUCGCCCGCGCGCGCUCGUUCGCUCGGUAAAUUCACUUCUCUACUCUCUCUCUCUCAGCAUCCUGUACUAUUUGUUUCCAUGGUUGAAUAUAGACUACGUAUUUGAUUGGUGAUGUCAUUUUUAUUCUCCUCUUCUUUCUUCCUUUUUUUUUCUUUGAUUCCAGAAAAGAAAAGCUGUGAUGGUGCUUAACUUUUGAGUAUCAAUUGAUUUGUUAGAGACUGAUUGAUAUGAGAAACCAUGUAGUAGUAUUAAUUUUUGUGUUUUUUUUUGGGUGGGCGCGCCGGAAUUUUUUUUUUGGGGGGGGGGGGGGGUUGGUUGAGGGGAAGAUAGCUGGGUGUUUCCAAAGCGAUACUUCUCUCAAAAGUAGGAUUUCUCUCUUGGUCUGUUUGUUUAUGUUUUCCUCCUUAGAUAUGCUUAAUUGGUUCAUAUAUAUAUAUUUUUUUUGGGCAGAAAUAGGAUUUAUGCGAUCAUUUCAAGGCUCUGAUUCUUCCAACCAGCUUCCUUUUGUUAUUUUGUUAACUCUGCAGAACAGUGUUUAGUCGUCAAGUUUUACUGUUGCCCACUCUUGCGCGCGAUACACUGUUAGAUUCUUCCGGACGUGGUGUGGAAGUAGCAUUACGCCUGCUAAUAACCCCCUGUUCUUUGCUUUCUUUAGAGGUGGCAGUCUUCGGAUGGAAUUCUAUAGCUUUCCGGAACAAGAAUAUGCAGAUACUUAUUUGGUAAUCUUUCUGGCCGUCUAAUGGUCAAGUUUUUCAACGUCUGUUUCUCACCUUGUCAUUCUGGUCUGCAGUUUGGUGUGUUUUUUACCAAUUGAUAGUAGUGAUUGUAUUUUGGUGUCUUAGAUUCAAGGUACUGAGUUAAACUCACAGUUCAGUAGCCCAAGUCUUGAAGCCAUGUAUAGCGAAGGAGCUCCGGAAUUCAUCGUUGAUCAGGGCUUGUAUUAUCCUACUGCCACCAAUUAUGGAUAUAUCUGUACAGGUUAGGAUACCACCUAUGUUGUAUUCGAGCCAGUGAUUACUUUUUUGUUGUGUUCUCUCUUCUUGUUUUAUCUUCUUGCAUUUAUACAUGUAGUCCGGUAUGUAUAUGUAUCCAUAUUUGUUGAUGCAGCUCCUUUUUGUCCAGGAUUUGAAUCACCUGGUGAAUGGGAUGACCACCGCAGGGUUUUUGGUCUGGAUGGUCAAGAUAUCCAAUACGCCGUGAGUUCAUUCGCACAUACAAUGUCUUCCUUUACCACUUUGUGGCUAUGUGGUAGUUUCUAACCUCAGAAUGUUGUUUGUCCAGGGUUCCCAAACUGAAACUUUUCCCUUUCUAUAUUACACACCUACCUAUGGAUAUGGACAGUACACCUACAACCCUUACAUUCCUGGGGCUAUGGUGGGAGUUGAUGGGCAAUUUCUAGGGGCACAACAGUACUACACCAUCCCAUCUUAUGAAAAUCCUUCAUCUGCACCAGCAUAUUUCCCCAUGGUUGUUCAGUCUAGGUCAGAUCUCAUUGCAAAUAAUACAACAGACCCCUUCCUUCAUACUACCACAUCUACUGCUAAUAGAGCUGAUCGCUCAGGUCUGAAGCAAAAUAUUUCUUCAGCUUCUUCUGCCCUUUCCUCAAAUCUUUUGGGGCCUGCUUCUAGUCAAGCUAGUUCCAUGAUGAUGGUAUCUGAUGGAACUAAAACGAAUGCUACAGCUAGCGUACGACCUAUCACACAUGCAAAUGUUACAUCCAACAGAUUGUCCCGCCCACCUUCUAACCAAAUUCUUCAGGUUGGACUUACUUUGCUGAGAAAACAGCUUGUACAAAAUGUUUUUGAUAAGUUUUGUCAUUAUCUGAGGUGCCUGAAUGUGUACUCAUAAUUGUUUUAGCUAAGUUUAAUGCAGAUGUAACUACCUGCUGUUGCACUCUCUGCUUUCUUCCUCUGGCUAUUUGUCUAGCCGUUCUCCUUUUGCUUUACUUGAGGUUGUGAGAGGUCGUAAUUCACAAGUAAAAAUUUGGUUUACCUGCCCAUUUUAACAUAAGUUUUCUUCUUUGCAGGGUGGAGUUAGUCAAGCCCUGGAGCAUAUGCCACCUGGGAAGGCUUUUCCGAGCAGUAGUCAAUUUAAAGUUGCUCAACCACGUGCUAAUGGGAUGUCUAGCUUUGGAUCUACAUUGCAUGUGGAGCCCACUACAGACAAAGUUCAACCCACGUUUCCUCACGGGAGAGGUCCAAAUGUUACAAAAGUAAGGCCUGAUGCACUUGGUGAGCAGAAUCGAGGCCCUAGAGUUGACAAACCAGAAAAUCAAUUAUCAGUUAAAGCUUACACAACCAGGGCAGGAGAUGCUGAUACGGAGGGAAAUAUUAUUAUUAAUACCGAUGGAUAUAAUAAGGAUGACUUUCCACUUGACUACACCAGUGCCAAAUUUUUUGUUAUUAAAUCGUACAGUGAAGAUGAUGUGCACAAGAGUAUUAAGUACAAUAUUUGGUCCUCCACACCCAAUGGGAACAAGAAGCUAAACAGUGCUUAUGAAGACGCUCAAAGAUUUGCAAAUGGAGAUUCAGGACGCUGCCCAAUUUUUCUCUUCUUUUCUGUAAGUGACACUCAGUUCUAUUAUUUUACGGGUGAAAUCAUGUUCUUUUGUCUUUUUUGAUGCACUGUCACUCGAUUCUUGAGGUAUGGACCUUCUUGAAAUGAAGCUUUGUGGCAAUGGUAGCUUCCAUUUUUUGUGAAGCUAACUGCUUGUCCUCUUGAAAUGAAGGUAAAUGCAAGUGGUCAGUUCUGUGGUGUUGCUGAGAUGACUGGCCCCGUAGAUUUUUACAAAGAUAUGGAUUUUUGGCAGCAAGACAAGUGGACUGGGAGCUUCCCUGUCAAGUGGCACAUAAUAAAGGAUGUGCCAAACCCCAACUUCAGGCACAUAAUAUUAGAGAACAAUGAUUAUAAACCAGUAACUAACAGUAGAGACACACAAGAGGUUGGUUAACCUUUACUUUCAGUGCAAAUAUCAACAAAUUUCCUAAUUUGCUCAUUAUGUGACUAUGGAUUGGUAAAUUCUUUUGGAAUUUAGUUUAUCUUUCUUAUUCUUGUCUGUUUGGCUUUGAAUGUUGCUGGUGGGCUUUGAACAUUGUUGGUGGGCUUUGAACAUUGUUGGCAUGCUUUGCUGUGUGUUUUUGAACAACUUGGUGGUUUCUGUCAUCAUGGCAAUCUUUGCCUUUCUUUGCUCCUGCAUCCUUUUUUUUUUGGGUUCAUGCUUCAUGCUACACUUGGUGGAUAUAACAUCAAUUUAUUGCAUGAAAUAUUGCUUCUGAAUUCUAUAAAUUAUGCGACUAUCAUUGUGCAUCACCUCCCGAAGAGAAUGUGCUGGGAAACUUUGUUUGUUUUCAGGUGGGGAGGGUUUGCAUGUGAAAUUAGAGGAAAACGUAUUGCCUUAUUAGGACUUGGGAGAUACAAUGUUCCAUGUAGCUUUCUCAUGAUAAAAGAUAACUAUGAAUAUGUUUAGCUUCUGAACCCUCCACCUCCUUUGCACCCACCCUUUCUUUUUUACUCCCUUUCACAUUCUCUUUCUUGUAAUCUCAAAUUUUUCUCCUUUUAAAUGAACUCUUGGUUUUUAUCUGAUGGUGUGCCAUGACAUGAAUCUUAGUUUUGUACUUUUUUCUGCUAUUAUUUAUGCUCAGGUACGCUUCAGGAAAGGAAUUGAGAUGCUGAAAGUAUUUAAGACCCAUGUAUCCAAGACUUCUUUACUUGAUGACUUCAUGUACUAUGAAAAUAGACAGAAACUUUUACAGGAAGAGAAAGCUAGGCUGCUUAUGAAAAAAUACGAACAUCCAGUUCUUGUUCCUGUUUUGGAUCCUCCAGACAAGCUUACUUCUAGGAUUAACUUUUCUUCUAAAGAAGAUGAUAUGAGUUACAAAUGUAAUGAUUCAAACCACUCUGAUCAUGAUACAGCUGCGUCUGUUAAGACUGCUGGCUUAGAUGGUGAUACUGUAAAUGAUGAUGUUGUGGAUGUAGCAGAUGGGGAAGCAAGCAUACAUGAUUUUCUAAAGAUUGGCACACUCACUAUUACUCCAAAGCAGUCUGGCUCCGAGCUCUUGGGGGUUGUUACUGCUACUGUGGCAAACUCUUCUCUGUCUGAUGUUGUUACAGUAGGAUCUGUGCCUGUCAGGAUAAAGGAAACAGCAGAAUCUCCUGGUUUUCUGACAUUUGGGACUAUUCAAGUUGAUCCUACUGUUCUCAACCACGACAUGGCUUGCUAUCGCGGCAAAGGUGGACAAAAAUAGGUCGGUGUGUGGUCAAAUUUCGAUGACGGGAGUCCAUCAACUAUGACAAAGCAUUUGCUCUAUAUGGUGGGUCAUAUUGGCCCCCUCCCCACCCUCUCUCUCUCUCUCUCUCUCUCCCCCCAAAACACAACUAGAUGCCUUUCCAUUGUAAAACUGAGUGUAUUAUGCUGGGGCAGCGUAGUUGUAGGUCAUUCUCAUUUUCCUUUAAAGCUCAGUCUGGGAAGGGAUAUUGAUUUGAUCCCGAUGUUAUACUAACCUUCUUUUGGGUAUUGGAGAUUAUGGGUCUAUGGUGCAAAUUGGCAAAAUUUUUUGGUAUAUACCUUGUAAUUUACCUUUUUGGCUGUACUUUAAAGCAUUUUUAAUUACCUAGUCAGGGAGUCGUGACUUCGCAGGAGUUAAUAUAUAGACUUUGAGAAUGCAUUGGGUGAAAUACAAUGCGACCAAGUAAUAUUUUAUUGUGAACGUAUCUUUCUUUGCAACAGUGACAAAGAAGGAUUGAUAAUUUGUCUACGGGUAAAGUAGUAAGCUUCCUCUGUUGAUGAUAAUAUAUGUUUUUCAAAGGCAAGAAGAAAAUUGUAAAAAGUUUCAUUCAUGAAAACUGCACGAAGUACGAGCCCAUCUCCCUGUAGUUUUAAGACAGUAUUGUGAACGCAGAGUUCUAUUUAGCCCUGCUACACUCGAGACUAUAAUAAAAUAGACAUCCUAGUAGAGUCGCAGCAGCAACAUCUGACUAUAAAAAUUAAAAUAGAGGCAUUCUUCCAGCAACACCCGCUGAAGCAGUAGCAGUAGUGUUUCACCUGAGCCGGAGGUAAAAAGAUGAUCUGAUUUGUGAGGAGGAGCUGGGAUGGGAGAUGAUCCCAUUUAUGGCCUUCCUAGUUGCUCGGGGAACUCAAAUCCUCGAGGCGUCUGGUGAAACUGAACAGUGCUUGCAAUGUCAAUCCAAAUAAGUACUACUACUAACUAGUAAUUUUCAGCAUAGGCUGGUGGACACCAGCAAGCCUUUAAGGCUUUGGUGGGGUGGGAGGCAUGGGCUUGCCACAAUUGUGGUUCUUCAAAAAAAUCCAGAUGGGUGCGUGGUGCACCCGUCUGAUCCGGUGGUGAUUCUGUCCCCAUUGGUCCUCCGUAGGUCCAGUUGGGUCUUCCUGUAAUUAGAUUAGGAUAGAGUAGGAAUAGAUGUAGGAGUAGAGAUGACGAUUGACCAAAAAAAAAAAAAAAACUUGUAAUUUUCAACAUAGGCAUUAGGCAAUAUCAGGGAAAUACUAACUGUUGUUCUAUUUUUGGCUUAUUAUAGCUAAAUAAAAUAGUUGUAUUGUUAUGUCCUAAUGCUUGCCCCCUUUUAGGAAUUAACAAGAAUUUGGACUGGCUAAAUUUAAAUACGAAAAAUUUUAUGGUUCCUUUUGGAUGCAAUAAUGUCUUCUUCAACUUUUUUCUCUCACUAGAGCUAAUAAGUAAUUUAAAUUUUAAAAACUAUAUUCAACGGUGAAUUUUAUUUAUGAUCAUGAUAUUUAAAACAGUUAUAUUAAUAUUACGGUAAUAAGGGUAGGUUACAAUCUUUUUGUUGUAAAAUUGCAAUAUCAAUUAGCAAUUGUCAAUUAGCAAACCUCACUGAAUUAGCACCACUGCUGCUGGUAUCUUUUUUUUUUUUCUUUCGAGAUACUGUAGUUAUUCGGACUACCCGACUAAUCUCACAGCGCCCAGACAUAGCGAACCCGACCGAUGCUAAGACGCAAACAAUUGGGUUGCGGACCGAAUCAACCAGGUGGACUUAGAGUAAAGACCCGCCUCCACCGUCCAAACAACCCAGUGCGGGCAGGACUCGGGGCAGGGACGGUUGUAGGUGCAACCGUCCCUGACAAAUUUCCUCUUCAUCAACAGCGCGUAACUUCUUUUGUUCACCGUGUAAUUUUUUUUUCACAGGUUGUAUUUUCAUAACAGAUAGUGGUGGACCCCACACUUGGCGCGAAAAUCGAGUUACCACUUGUUAUCUGAGCCGCACAUUUUUUUGAGAUCCAAUCUGGACCAUGAACAGUGCAGGGACGGUCAUACCCUGCCCCAAAUCCGUGCGGGCACUGCUGCUGGUAUCUGGUCAUGAUUUUUGUUGCUUGGAGCUUUAAAUUAAAUAAAUAAAUUGGAGAUAGAUUCUUUGUGCUGACUUUUUGUACUGGCAGUCUAGUACUAGUACUGCUGCUGCUACUAAAUUUGUAUGCCCGGCUGGGGCUUUCAGUCGGGGCUGCCGUCUGUCUUCUUCAACCGCCAACUGUAUCUUCCCAUCUCACACCCACUCACCCAGCCACCGCACCACUGUAAGCUGCUGCUCCUCCUCCUUCCCCUUCCUUCCUGAUCAUCAUUUCUACAGCUCUGCCCAAUUUGGUCAAAUGCAACUGUUUUUUUUUCCCUUCCUUACUUUUUGACUUCACGAAUUUUCGCUUCUUCAAUUCAAUGCAUGCAUGAGUUCCUACGAUCAAUGCCCCGAUUUUCAGGAUUUUUGCCCCUUCAAAUGCACCCAUAGUUUUCUAUUUUCUUCUUGACAAAAAAAAAAAAAGAAAAAAGAAAAAUCUUCGUCUGAGAUAACUGUAGCUAGCAAGCAUUUGCAUUGCCCAAAAAAAAAAGGGAAAAAAGUGGUGAGUAACACAUUUUCUAUAAGAUGAUGGAGAAUUGCAAUGUUUUUUUUUUUUUUUUAAAACUUCAAUAGAAGAAGUUAUAUGUUGACGUGCAUGUGUAUGUACACUGAUCUGAGAUGCCUAUGAUCAUGUACGUGGAGAGAUCCUUACCCGUCAUACAUGUUUGUGUGUCUAUGUGUGACUGUCAUAUAAGAGAGAGAAAUUGCGUGAAUCUCUAUUCAUGCCUGCUUCAAUUCUUGUAUAAUUUUUUUUUACCAAAGAAUAAAAAAGAGGGAGAAAAAAACUGAGUAUAAUUUUCGUUUUACCAUGAUUAUAUACUAGUAGUUUUCAAGGGUAGGUUUUUGUUGCUUCUUUAAAUUACUUUUUAUCUUCAUUCAAUGAUUCACGGGUUCAUACUUUUUCAGUUUUCUAAUCCUUUUGGGCUUUUUGCUGGAUUAGAUUCCUUUUGGGUAUAUAGUAGUUGUCAAGAGUUUGGUUGGCAUCCCUUGCAAUUCAACAAUUUGUCAUAUUGCUCCCCUAUCAUAUCUUCCUUGUAGCAUCAGAUGACAGACUUAACAGAUGGCGAAAAUUCGUCAAAGCAACAGACUGAUGUUCAAACUAUGCCAAAAGUUGAGCCUUUGAGUUAUGACUUGCCAUUGCCAUCUGAGAAUGUGCACUCAAGGGUUAUGGUGGUAUGUGAUCUGUGUCUAUAAGAGCUCAACGCUAAAUCAAUUGGUUUUCAAUUUGCGGAAGUUUUUUAAGUCUUCUUUUAUGGACAAACAGAAGGGAGAAAAAUAGGACAUACUAAAUAAUUUUCCUUGCAAGUAGGAUUUUCUGUUUUGAACAUGUUCUGGUUAAGCUCUAGUUUGCUGAUUUCUUUCAUUUAUGCAGCUUCGUGCUCAGUCAGUUUCCACUAAGUUCUUUUAUUCCGUUUGCUUCGUAGUCCGGCAAACCACCGUAGCAUAUAAUUCUGGAUUUAGGUAGUAAUUUUGGAUUUUAUCUUUAUGUAGAACAAUGUUGCAAGCUCAUCAUCCAGCAAUACAAGAUCUUUCAUCAUGGAGAUGGGAUUUGAACCAUAUCUUGUGGACAGGGCAAUUAGAGAACAUGGUAUGUCUACAUAAACUGACUUGCUCCUUCACAGUUUCGAGUAAUAAUACACUGAGUUGGCUAAAUAUGGCAAUCUCGUGUUUGAGAGAUAAUUCUCUAUUUAUCAUGAUCAUCAUUGUCAUCAUCUUCUGACAAAACAAUAAAUGAUAGGACAUUUUCUUCUCAUGUAGGUGAAGACAAUGUUGACUUGAUAUUGCAGACUCUCUUUGCAUAUUCUGUAAGUUAUUCUUCCUUCAUCUGAGCUCUGGUUGCUUGGAAUUCCCUUGCAGUGCCGUUAUGGAAGGUUUCCUUGUCUAAUUGUGGGAGUUACAAGACUAUAUAUGAUUGACAUUCUUUGAACAAGUUUUAUGGCAUCACAUUCUCCUUAUUUGUUUGUUCAAUUUGUUCUUCCCCUUUCCCCUCUUUCUAUGGUUAACAGAAAUAAUUUCUUUCUUUGGUCCAAAGUAACAACAAAUGACCAUAUUGAAUAUGACUUAAAGAGUUGAUUCAAUUGGUAACUUCAUGUGGGAAGCUUAGUUGUCAGUUGCUUUGCAUGAAAGUUUCAAAAUCUAGAUCAAAAUUUGAAACUGUGGUCUUUAAUGGUUGCUGAAAGGCAUUUGCACAUAUUACUGAGUUGAGUACAAUGAAUUUGCAGUUACAUGAGCCAAGUACCAGACCUAGGUUGGCUGAACUCUAGUUUUGCUUAAUUCCACCAUCAGUUUUUGGGCAACAUAGUGCUGCUAGACAGUUUAGUGUGUGUCUGCUUAUUUUUUGUCUUUUUAGUUGCUUCUUCUCUAGACUUCUUUUAUCUCCAUGUAAAUUUUAAGGAUAACAUCCUUAGCAAGUUGAACCAAGUCUUUAGGAAGGAAAAGGUUUGGUUGUGUGAAUUAUCAGUGAAAGAUGGAGGACUUACAUCCUAUCACAUUCGAAGUUGUACCUGUAAAAUUCUACCGCGAGAUUGAGAAGCAGCUUUUCCAAGUCUUAGGUAGUGAUUUAGUUGAAGUCUGGUGCUUCAGGAUUUCGUGCCUGCAUGAGGCUAUUAUUGUCCUUUGGGCAACAGUAAGGUAAAAUGAAUAGUUUUCGGCACGUUUGGCUGAGUAUGGUUAACCGGAUUGGGUAUUUAUGCUACAAUUGUGGUAGCUGUUGCAUUAGGAUACUAAAAUUGAGUGGAUUGCUUUAUCUUUUCAUCUGGACAUUGAGGUGUCGUUCUGAACCAUGAAGGGAAUAAGUGAAGCACAAGAAAAAGAUAUGUGCUUCAGGAUUAGUCAAGCAUUCGGACAAAUUUGACUAUAUUACCAUCUAAACUCUUCAUACCACAAAGUACGUUGCUUAGGUUACAACUGCUUGCUGGAUGUGCUUAUUAGAACUUAACUGAAAAUCAUAGCCUUCUGGAGCUGUAUUGGUAUAAAUUAACCUUCUCCUUAUAUCAACUUCAGUUAACAUGGGCGUCUGCCUAUUGAGCUGAAGUAGAACUCCAUCAAUGAAAAUCAUCUUACACAUAGCCAAAGAAGAAUUUUGUGAGGCAGUGGCCCCAGAAUUUUUUGGACGUAAAAUUAUCUUCACACAAAGACUUUUAUUUGUUCAUAGCCUUUGUUUUUGGUUUUUAGAGCUUGUGCUGGUUGAUCAGUUUGUUUAUAUUGUUGCCUGUUAUUGCCAAGAUCCAUGCUCACUAGCCAUCAUGUCUUUUGGAAUGAAAUAGGCUCCUCAAAAACCAAAAUCUGAGCAUUGUGACUCAGUUGAUGCCUUAUUUCACAACAAUAAUAAACUCCCUGCAGAUUGUGGUGCAAGCGAGGUAACCUGCUCUUUAUGCUGGUUUAUUUUCUUUUCUUUCUAUCCAAAUAAUGAAUUUACACAUUUUGGAUGACCAGCCGGAACUGGUCACUUUAUCAACUUCGAGUUGUGGAGAUGGGUUUUUUUUUUUGGUCUAGGUCUUAUUAUACUUUUUUAGUGUGUUAUUGACAUUGUAUCAUAUACAUCCAUUUUUCUACUUUCUUAUCUGCUUAUCUUUUUUUUCUUUUUUUGACCUUUGGUUCCAUUUUUGAAUUAUCUAGUCAUAAUUGCUUCUUCCAAAUUGCUUUUAUUGACCUUGUAAUUCUACUUUAUGCACUAAAAACAAGAUCCCAGUGAAUUGAUCUGCAUUUGCACUUCCAAGGCACCUGAUUAAUCCACUUGUUUGUUGACCACAUCAGUUAUUACACCAUAUUUUAAGCUCUCAAUGCACAAGUUUUCAAAAUUGCACGGCCAUUGUUUUCAUUAGAUGCUAAGAGAUGUAAAAGCCACUUCUCUUUUUGCCUUACCUAUAAAAAUUAGGAUAUCAACACAGACUUUGUCAACCUAGCUAUAGCUAGGUAUGUUUUAGCUCCAUUUCCCCAAGUAUAUGGCCUUUUUUCCUUUUAAUCUUUCAGAGGAAUUUUUUUUUCUGUAAAUUUACUUUAAUCAGUUGAUUUCGAUCCAUAUCUGUAGCUAGUUUACCUUUUUGAUAAAGGCCUUCAAGCAAACAUAGGAUAUUUCACCACACACAAGCAAUAUUUACUACUACAACAAAGCUAUGUUACUUUUCACUUAAAUAUGCAGUGUCUAAAAUUUCUAAUGAUAUCUGCUUUGUAACUCAAACAGACUGUUGAUAUAUCAGACUCAUCAGAUUCUCUGGAUAGUUUGUUUGGGGAUGAUCAGGAAACUUGCAGUCACUUCGAUCGCAAUAGAGAUGUAUUCUUGAAAGAGGUAGCUAUUGUCAUUUGUAUAUUUGCAGUUUUUUGCUUUUUCUUUCUUUCUUUUUUAUUUUUCCUUCCUUUGUGAAGUUACUUUCAGCAUCAUUGACCAGUACAUGUGGACUUCAUGCAAUAGGUUAAUGCUCUUACUUGUCCUUAUCAUUGUUGUUGACCUUUCUUGUAUGUGUUCAGCAGUGACAAGUAUUUUACUGAUUAAAACAUGCAUGUCCAGACCAAUCCAUUGGAUGCCAAUUUUUUGGCCAUUGCUUCUUCUAAUGCCUUCUCUGUAGCACUAAACUUUAUGUAGGUUGUUUGGUUGAUAUUGUAUUGAAGUUUAUUGAAGAUUUAUCAAUAAACUUAGCCACCAAUGUCAAUGGGAAGCCAUAGCCCAUUUGUCAAGAAUGAUUAAAUGGAAAAUAAAAGUUGGGGCAACUUAUAGAGAAAUAGGAAUUUUGUAAUUUUAUCGACAACUGCAAAUUUUCUGAAUAAUGUCUAGCCAACUUGUUUAUCACUCUUUGCAUUUAAGAACUAACUUGUUGGAAGCAGAAUCAAGUUGACUUGCAUUUCCCUUGCAUCAGUACUCUCAUGUGAUAUAAAUUCUGGAAUUGUAGUUGUGUGCUAUGCUGGUUGUUUUUUGAGGAAGUUGAUUGUUCACUCUUAAUUGAGGAUACUAUUCUGGUUAAGCUAAUAUCAAGCAAAACAGGAGAGUGUUUGCAUUGAUGAUGCGGACUCGUUUAGGAAAUCAUGAAGGUCAUUAUUUUUCCGUUGGGCUACUGUAUUUACCAAUUUUGCAUAUCAAAAUGAUUAUAAGAGCUCAUAAGGCAAAUGAUACUUUGCAUCUACCACUGAAUGUAUUUCUACUUGCAGGAGCCUGAUGUAGAUAGUGUCACGAGCGAGAAAAAGGCAUCCUUGGUCGCAAUGAGUUUCUCUAAAGAUGAAGUGGAGUUUGCAAUGAAUGAGCUUGGUAGGUGGAAGUUUCUUUCUAUUGAUGCCGAAGAGGAAGGUUCUAAAUUUCAUGCGUUUCUAUUUACCGUAAAGUCCAACAAUGUCUCAAAAUUUGACUUUAGUGACUUGCUUUUGGUUGCUUAUGCGUUCAUAUAACCACAAUUAGAGAUGACAAGUGAAAGGAGAUUGAUAUAGCAUUUGUACACAAGGGUCCUUUUGGCAUUUCUAGUUGGGAAAAUUGUUUUACCUCCAACUUUACUUGAGUCUGGUGCUGUCAUGUGUUUGCUUGAGUAGUAUCAAUAUAUCCCAAGCUGGAGAAGACAUUAUGGGGGGCUGGGAGGGGCAACCUGCGAGCAUUUCUCCACCUGUAGUGAAUAUAUGUAUUCUUUCUCUUUGCAAGACAGAUAUUCAGGUCCUUAAUAGCUCCUUUCAUUGUGAGUGAGCUCUUGACUUUCAUUUUUGAGGCAAUGCCCUACGAGUGCUUGCUUUAGCUCUGAACAUUCUGACGCCCAAUCUUUCAUCUAUUUCACUUGUGUGCACCUUUUGCUUUCGUAUGUCUUGCCAUGACAUCAGGAUGCACUAUAUGCUAUUCAAAUUUACUGCAGAUCUGAUUUGUGUUGACACUUGAAAUGUCAUAAGUUGUCUUUCUGUUGCACAACAGGUGUAGAUGCUCCUAUCAGUGAUUUAGUAGAUUUUAUCUUUGCUGCUCAGAUAGCUGACAACUAUGCAAAAGGUGUAAAUAAGCCUACUCCUAGUGAUGUAGGAAAGGACCAGGUUUUUUUUAACCAUUCCUUAAGUUUUCUUAUUCACUUUGGGGCUCCAAAGGAUUCUCUUAUUUAUUAUUUUUCAUGUAGCAUCUAGCUUGAUUAAGCAAUAAAUGUUGUAGCUUCAUUUGCAUUUGUAUAAGCUCACUUUGUUUUCAAAUUUGAAUACAUGAAUUCAAAAAAAUUUGAAUACAUGGAAUUCAACAAAGUCUUGAUCCCUUUAUGGUGAACUUUUGAAGUAUUGCAUCCUGUGGUAAUGAGCUGGGAGCGAUAUUACAAGUCUACUACUGUCUCCUUUUUGAUGUGUUCUUUAAAUUGAUGGGAUCUAGAGUGGAUGGAAUGGGUAUAUAAAGCUUCAUCAUGCUAUGUGUUCUUAAAUGCGCGCGUGUGCCUGAGGAGUGGAGGCAUAAAUUGUGAUACCGUUUGGAAAAUUAUAUAAAGGAUGAAUAGGAAAUGAUUGACUUUCUCAUAUGGUGGUUGGCUCUCACUUUUGAGUAUCGACUUUUACAUCUAUGCUGUGUGUCCAGAAUAAUAGCAUCUUGUUUUGGAUUUAUCCAAUCUGUUUGAAAGAGUAGGAUAUAGACAUGCAUGUAUAGAGAUGGGACAACUCUAGCCUGACUAGCCUUUGUGAAUUGUCAAGCUUUGAUUCUUUGUACCUGCCAUGUGAGACGGGUAGAUUUAGGGUGGUUUUUGUCAUGUUGGACUAUUUAGUCGGAGAUGAAUGUUCACGGAAUGAGAGGUAGCCUUUUCAUGUGAAAAUUCUCGUAUAUAUGUGGUUCUGUACGCUUUUGAUAUGUGCAAACCCAGAAUAUUGUAAACAUCCCAUUCUGGAGCCACACACUUGGUUAGUUGUGCUGAGUUGAGCUACAAAUUUUCAGCAAUUCAGCACUGAAGCAUUGUUUGGAACAAUGGAGAAGACACUUGUAUUAUUUGAAAUGGGUUUUUCAGAACAACAAAUUUCAACAGCUAUUGAGAAGCAUGGUAAGUGUAAUUUUGCCAUUUCCUUUCUUCCCUCUUUCCCUGGUAUUUCUUUUUCUUUGAAGAGUUGGAAGAUUCUCUAGUGUCUUCUAAUUAAGUGAAAUCUGAUUUCUGUAUUUCUGUUUGAUUUACUCUCUUGUUGCUUUCACAACCGACUUUUUCUUUUAUGGUAACUUGUGGACCAUGACACUCCGCAAUUUCUGCUUGCAAUAAUUCACACAACUGACAUAAUCUGCUGUGGUUUGAUCGAAGAACUUAAAAAGUCAUUUUCUGGUUUUUAAUGUCUGUUCUGAAAUUGCACCAUAGAUUUACCUUGUUCCUGAUAUUUUUGUGCUUUGACUUGAAUGAUCUGAGGGAGGACUGGGGAGGGGAAAGAGAGUAAACGGGGGCUUUCCUUGGGAAGGGAAAAGGAAGGGAGCAGAAAAUGGUAAAUAUCUUCCAGUGACUCAUCUCCAUGUGCGUUGCAUGCUUUCCACCUGUUAAUUACCCAAACAAUCAGAAUGGUUGAAAGCAUUCUCUCCCUAGGUGUAGGAUUUCAGAUCCUGUUCUCCUCUCCUUUUUUUUUUUUAAUUCUCGGCCUCACUUUAUUUUCUUCCUAUCCAGGUUCAGAAGUUCCCGUCUCGGAGCUUGCUGCUUCAAUUGUAGCAGAAGAAGACACUGGCACAAAGACAGACAAGGUAUUACCAUCAUUUUGGUGGACACCUAGAAAGUAGAAAUAAUAGCAAUAAGGAUUAUGAAUAAUGCUAGAAAUAUAUCUGUUGCAUUUGGCUAAUAUAAAUACUAUAAAGCAACUGAUGUGCACAUUUUAAAUUUCAGUAACAACUUUUUUUGCUGGGGCAGUUUGCUAAUAUGUAGCCCCUUCACUUUCUGACUACUACUUAUAUAGCCCCUUUGCCCUUUUUUGUUUUUUUAGCAUCUUCUAGCAGGCUCAAGUCUGAGUAAUUCUACUGCUGGAAAAUAUCAUUCCUUUCAUCCAUCUUUUGUAAAAGCCGAGGAGUAUGGUUUAGAUGAUGUUUCCUGCAGAAACUUUGAUGUCCUGGAAAAGUUGAAAGGCAAAAGGCCAAAAGAAAAAUGUGAUGAUGAGCUAUGUGGUUUGAAAAUCCCAAAGCAAGAAUACAAUGAAGACUUCAGCUAUUUUGUAGCCCCAGUGCGGUCAGAAGCAACACAAAGAGACUCUAUUUCAUAUGGUGGUUGUCAUAUGCAAAUUCGAAAGAAGAAGAUUCACCGUGGAGCAGAACAAAUGGGCAUUUAUGGACCAGAGAAAUUGCCAAUGCCCAAGUCGUGCAGAGCUUAUGAUGAUAUGUUGGCUAAACCUCCUUAUUUCUUUUUUGGGAACGUUAUAAGUUUAACCCACGAGUCAUGGGUCAAAAUCUCGCAGUUCCUGUACGCAGUUCGGCCAGAGUUUGUCAGCACUGAUACUUUUUCUGCUUUAAGUCGAGAGGAAGGCUAUGUUCAUAACCUCCCUACUCAAAAUAGGUUUCACAUUCUUCCAAAGCCGCCAAUGACUAUACAAGAAGCUAUACCACGCACGGCAAAAUGGUGGCCUUCAUGGGAUACAAGGAAACAGUUGAGCGUCUUAACUGCUGAAGCCACGGAGAUGUUUCAAGCGUGUGAGAGGCUUGGAAGAAUGGUAGGUAACUCCAGAGGACUUUUGUCUGUUGAACAACAGUCAAACCUUCUCCAUCAAUGUAAGAUGUUUAAUCUUCUUUGGGUUGGCCCUCACAAAUUGGCCCCUAUAGAGCCAGAGGAUGCAGAGCGCAUUUUCGGCUAUCCGGUGCAUCAUACUCGAUCUGCUGGCUUUAUCCUUGCGGACAGGCUUUCAUCACUCAAAAAUUGCUUUCAGAUUGACACAUUGGCAUAUCAUCUUUCAGUAUUGAAAUCUCUUUUUCCUGGAGGAUUAACUGUUCUGUCCAUCUAUAGUGGAAUUGGCGGGGCGGAACUUGCUCUUUACAAGCUCGGUAUCCAAUUGAAAGUAGUUGUUUCCAUAGAGCCUUGUGAAAUAAAACGAAGGAUUCUAAAGCAUUGGUGGGAGAAACGUGGAAUAACUGGGGAGUUGGUGCAGAUGGAAAGCCUUGGGAGUCGUCUAGCAUUUAACAAGCUUGACGGUCUGAUACACAAGUACGGCGGAUUUGAUAUUGUGAUUGGUCAAAACCCAUCCACUUCUUCGUCUAGAAGCUCAUGUUCUAAAAAAGACAAGAACUCGCCAGGUUUAGAUUUUCAGUUGUUUUAUGAAUUUGUUCGUGCUUUACAACUUGUGAGGAGUACAAUGGAGAAAAACAGAUAGGUUUUAUCCAUUUGUUAAGCUUCUCCAACUGUGCCGUGCUGCAAUGCUUCUUUCGUUCUUCGCUUAGUGUAGGAGACAAUUCAAGUUCGUGCUGCCAUUUUGUGAGUCUAUUCUAAGUUUUAUGUUAAUCGUGUCGCACCAAGCGUGGGAGUUAGUCGUCAGUCACUUAAAUUAAUCUCUUUUUUUGGAAUGACAAAGUCGAGGGUUAUGUGUAUUAUAAUCUUACAUGCAGAAGAAAAGUAACACCAGAGACUUGCAGCUACGUCGAACGAAAGAUUGCACCAUCAUAUUUGCUGUCUAGCGGUAAUUGAUGACUCGAAUAAAAUUGGACAAUUUUGCUUUUGAAGAGUUGGACGCGGGAUGCCAACUUUUAUCCAAAUAUGGACUAGCGUUCCCUGUCUUCCUCUCUUCGCCUUCGUAAACAUCAAACGCAAGUUGCCAUUGCAUCGGCAUUAAGUUGGGAAAAAUAUAGAAAAAUUGCCGUGUUUUUUUUUGGAAAUUGCCGUACAUUUCAAUAUCUAGUAACUUUAAAAGUAUAAUAGGGUACCGAAUUGUAUAAUUUGAAAUCAUAAGAGGGACAUUUUCUAUCAAUUUGCUUAACCAUAGGAAACUUUUUUACAUUAUUAUAACUUUAAAAGUAUAUCAAUUAGAAAUUUAUUUGUUUCCGGUACAAAUGCUCACCUCACCAAAAAGAUGAGCAUGUAUUUUAAAUCCGCGUUAAUUCAGACGAUUUCAGUUGCUUUUUAAAAUUAAUUCAAACCACGAAACAGCGGUGUCCGUUUAUUCACGGCAACAAGAAGAGCUCAAUAGCUUGCUUCAAGGAAGUCCAACAAGACUAGCUAUCAGAGCUAUGUUUCAAAAGCUCUUGCUGAAUUUCCUUCCAGUCAUCUGCUCCGAUUCGUAGAUUAUGUGAUUUAUCAGUCCCCUUGCAGCACUGCAAAGCCAAAAGCACAGUAGACGAGAAUGAAUUUUAGCAGACAGUUGCAGUCAUCUCCAGCGGGGUGAGAACAGAAUGCUUUGCGUGGUCAGCCACUGAUAUUCCAAACAUGAACAGAUAUUUAUUAGGUUUAAAAGUCUGAUUCUUCUACUUUUCCUUUAUCUAAUCUGGCGAUACUAGGGUCCGGCCCUAGAAUUCCAAGACAGAAAAGAAAAAGAAAAUCCACUGCCAACUGGAGUAUUAACUUCCCAUGGUGCAAAAUAAAACAGAAUUUCCUUACUUUUGAUCUUAAGCCAGCCAAAACACAAUUUCCUUACGGGAAUGUUUGAUUAUGAUGUGAAGAGCUGAACCAAACAUGACAUCCAGGCUCAAACAUGAAUAAUCAAAAGCAAACAAGUCAAUUUCCUGAUUUUGUUUUAAACUAUUUAAAUGGAGAUGCAAUCAAUAACCGGUAACUAUUAAGCAGCCUUGUCAAAGAACAAGAAUGCCCCCUGCCCCCUCCUCACCCCUCUUUCUGGCAUAUACUAAUAAUAAGCAUGACAUAGGGAUUAUUUUGGUGCAAAGACGCAGGGAAGGCUGUCUGUACCAGUAUGCAUUCUCAUGGACCCAGCUACCAAAUUUGGAGCAAGAGAGAAUUUAGAAACAAGUCGAAGAACAAGUGGAGAGAAAGGAUAAGCAUUCUACAAGCAGGACACAUUGCUGCGGAAUACAGACACAAAUGAAAUACAAGUUGCAACGGAACUCACUCAUCUUUCAACUUUUGAAUUUUAUCUGGAUCUGUCUCAUGCAUAUGCUUCUUGAAUUGCUGCCUCACCAUGCCAACUACAAGUUCGGUGUUGUGUUGCUGCAAAUUAGUAACAUAGAGAAGGUUAUCUCUCACAUUUUUACAAUACAAGAGGACUAUAUCUGUUUUCACUGGACAAAAAAAAAAAAAAAGAUACGCCAACAAGAAAAAUUGGUUUUGUGUGACAAAAGCAGUAGAUGAUGAUUUUAAUUAAAGCAGCAAAAAUUUUGGUCAUUAUGCAGCAGAAAGCAAAAGUAGAUUGAACCCCAUACCUUGUGCCCAAUAUAUUUAGCUCGCCGGAGGCAUUCGCGAUAAAGCUACAAGAAUUAUAAGCAAAACAAUAUAGCUGAACCCCAUUUCAACAAAAAGAAUAGAAAGUAUAGGACCAUAAAACAUACAAGCAUGUGAGCCAUGAUUGACACCAGAGAGAAAACAAAGGAGGGCACUAACACGGAUAACAUUAUUGGCCAGCUCAGGAGGCAAAGCUGUUUGAAGCGAGGGCAUCCUCUAUCUUACCUAUAGCUCCAAACCUGCGUUAUCUCCAAGCUGCUGCUCAAAAGGAAAAAAAAAAAAAAAAAACUUAUAAUUAUUUUUCAAGCCUUUAGCCAUUGCAAAGAUUCCAAAGGUAUCAGAGUUGACCGAGUCUGACUAAAGGCUGAAGGUGAAUGUGCACUUAGGCAAUUAAAGGAAUCAACGAACCAGCAACAAAUUUAACCAUAUGGAGUUUGGUAAGCAUAGCUGAAGCUUCUGGCGUUUGAAAAACCACGCCAAAAUGGGCAGUUUUUGGGGUAAAAGCUCCUGUAUGUAGCUAACGAAGAAUUUCAGAACUACUAAAAAUAUAUGCAACGCAAGGAUGUUGGCCUAUAACAGGAAAAAAAAAAACCAAUCUUGGAAUAGUCCUUAAUGAGUAGUAAUAACUACAACCUGAGCAAGCCCUCUGCAAUUACAACUCCACAAUCUUGAAUAAAGAUUUCGAUACUCAACCGAGAAAGUGAAAUGGUAUAAGAUGAAUUUCUCAAGCCAGGAGACCCCAGUAAUGCAGCUUUCACACACAUACACCAAAGACGGAGACACAAAUGACAGAACUCGGAUUCAAUCAGUUGCAAAAUCUCUUUUACCAAACAAACAAUUUCAAUCCAACAAAGAAACAAGUAAAACGACAAAUAGUAAUCUAAAAAAAAAUCUAAAUGCUAAAAAAAAUUGAUAUUAACAAAUGGAAGAAAGAAUAAAUAGAGAGAAAGAAAGAACACGCAUACCAGAAAGACCAGUACUUGGAACUGAGAAAAGGAAUGAUAAAUAUAUUAAUGUUCUUGCAAUUUCCCCGGCGGUCCAGAAGCAAGAGAUGGGAAAAGCGAGAGAGAGAGAGAGAGAGAGAGAGAGGCGCUGCCGUUCGGGUUCGGGUGACUCGUCUCCCUUUUUUAUUUUUCUACCUGGGCUGGGCUAGUAAGACCACAAUCCUGAUUUUCGUGGCUUAACUUAUUUGGGCAAGGCGAGAAAACGAUGCCCAAAAAGGAUUAGCCCAAUCCAAAUAUCCGACGGAGUGAGUCUAUUAAUAUAUCUCGAAGGACCCGACCCGGAGACCCCACAAGAUUAGCAGAAGUGUUUGGAAAUGACCGCUGCUUAUUCAAACGGAGCGACUGAUUCCCAUUUCCAAAUUCCCGUCCGUCACUGCAAUUUCUUUCUCUUCUUCUUCCGCAAUUUUUUUUUUUUAAAAAAAAAUUUUUUUGGUGAACCAACUAAUCAUCAACUCACAUUUACCCAAUUCUAUUAAUCUUUUUCUUGUUCUGGAAUCCCCGAGCCUAAAUGGCCGUUCCUGAACGGCGAUCAUUAACUUUCUCACUCACCCUUUUUCAAUUGUGAAAAUAGCUUAGAAGAAGACGCACUAGUAGAAGAAGAGGGGGCGGAUCAUUUCCUAGUUCGCCAUCAUGUUCGAGGCACAUGUAUGGCUAUCAUUUUUUUUUUUUUUUUUACUGAUUCCGUCCUUGUUUGUCCUUUCUUCCUUUUCUAUCAUUUUCUUAUGCUUGGAAAAGUCUCAGUCCUCCUAAUUUUUUUUUUUUUCUUUAUAAUUUUUUUAAAAAUUUUUGUUGGUUACGGAAAAAAAUUAUGUUUGGUACUAGUUCCUCGCUUGCCUGUUCAGUGCAUUGUUCGAUAGUUUUCUUGUUUUCUGUUUUAUUAGUGUUAAAUUCAGCAGCUGGGUGGGUAGGUCUUCCUUGUGGUACUAUUUUCUGAGGUGAUUUCCGGGCGAUGUGAGCACUUCUUUUCAUGGAUUAAGCACAUUUUUGAUCGCUGGGCAAUUGGUUGUAUUAUUCGCUGUGGUGCCCUCCUGUGAAACUGGAAUCGGAUGGUGUAGUACGGUGCCUAGAUGUAGUGCCUUAUAAUUUUUUGGUAGCCAACUGAAAUAGGAGGUUUAGUGGAUUAAGAUGAUCUGUGAACUAUAGAUGGAACUCUUUUUCUUAAAAAAAAGGAAGCAUUUAAAAGUCAAAUUGUGCAAUGUGAAUGGACGACUUGUGAUAUUCAAUUUGAUAACUAAGGGUGGAAUGCCUUAUGAAGUUGCAUUGUUAGUGUCAUAGCUAGCAGGUUUGUUGGGCUUAAGCAAUGACAGCACGGUACUCAUCAAAAGCAAUUCUACUUAGUCCUCGCAUGUUCCGAGAGUAAGGAAAGGAUGUGAUGUGCCUUGGUUACGUUUUGGUAAGUGAGGACGCAACCCAUGCAAGUAGUAAUUGUAGUGGCUAAGGUCUCUUGGGUUGCUCUAGUGGGUAGUUGGACUUUGGCAAAUAUAUUUUGUAAUUUGGGCUUGAUUUUUUUUUUUCGUCUUUUCUUAAUUGGUUUAAGUUCUUCUAAGUUAAAACAUGUUUCACAAGAUUGACCAUUUGAACUUUAUCGACGCCUCUAUCUUGGAGGUCAUCUAACUAGUUUUGCUUAGAUAUAUUGAGCUUUCUUGAUGUCAAAUGGUGCAGAGUGAGAUGAUCACAAGUUUCUGUUUCUUUUCCCCUUCUACGAGACUAUAAGAAAUGUUUCAGAGUUUAUUGUCCUUCGCUAGUGGUUAUGUUUGUCAUUUUCUUGGUUCUGAAAAGUAAUCAGGAGGUCAUCUUCAUGUGGUGGAUUCAGUACCUAGUGAACUCUAAAGCUUGUCAAAAGCAUUUUAGGUCCUUGAAGGGUAUCUUUAACUUUUAAAAUAUUGAAGCAGAAUGGUAUUCUGACCAAAAUUCUCUUCAAGUGAGUACGAAUUUUCUACCUAAUUCAACAAAAGAGGUGCUUUUACUGUCACGGAGAAAAAAAAUUGCAUCAUCUUUUUGUUUGUAUUGCUUUACAAAUGUCAACUUUCUGUAACCUUAAUUUGUUGCAAGUCUUCCAAAUGGACAGAUAACCUAAUCUUUUCCCUCUUCUGAUUCACUCUUCUCCUCCAACCCUAAUCCUGGUAGCUCCCUCUGUUUUUUUUUGGGGGGGGGGGGAGGGAAAGGAAGUACAAAAAAAAAAAAAAGCUUAUGAAAUCAAUCUAUGCUUAUCUCAGCGUCCAAGAGAAAAAAAAAAGGAUGUGUUCUACCUGCUUCUAUUGCCAGUAUUGUUAUCUUGCUUUUUAAGUAGCUCAGCCUUUCAAACCCUUGUAAUCUGUCUCCCAUUGUUUCUCCAUCUCCCAUAUCCCAGUGGCUGAUUUUUCUUUAGCCUUUAAAGUAUCUUUAUGAGAUUUUUCUAUUUCUUAACUUUUGUUGUUAGUAUGAAGCUCUUUUUUGACGUUUCUGUUAGAGCAUCAAGUGGACAUUGACUGGGAUUAUUUGCAGGUUUUGCAUUUGCUCCGACGAUAUUUGGGUGAAUAUGUUCAUGGUCUCUCUGCAGAGGCCUUAAGGAUUAGUGUUUGGCAAGGUUUUUCUAAUCCUCUGAUACUUUUUUUUUUUUCAAUGUGUUUCAUGCUGAAGUAGUAACCCUUCGCUCUUCUGGAUUAAUUUAAAUUGAACUGUACAUGUAGAUAUAAUGGUACCUAUUAUUUCUAGACAUUAUUUUUUAGAGUGUAAAAUGAAGUGCUGAAGAGAUUUUCAUGGCAUUUGUUGACUUGGAAAAAGCAUAUAACAGAGCUUAAGAAUUAUGUUAGGGUGAAAAUAGGAGCAAACUUUUGACGCCAUGACCACACUGAGAAAACUAUAGUCUAUCUAGUUAAUUUUUGAUUGUAUUGAUGAUUAAUUUUCCUUUUAUUUCAUGAUGAUACUGUGCAGCUCUUACAGUUAAAGCUGCUGAAUUUAGACAAGACUUUUGUAUUGAAGCUCUUGGCAUGAGAAUUGAGUAGAUGCAACAUUUUGAAUAUCUCAGUUGUAAUUUUUGAACGCAUACGAAAUUUUGGCUUGAUUUGAUACAUACAUACAUGCAUACAUAUGUAUGAAUGUAUGUGUGUCUAGUGAGAGAGAGAUUGAUUCUGGAAUGAAGUGACUCAUCGAAUUUAAGCUGGUUAGGUAAAUGAAGAGCUUAGAAGUGAGAGAAAUUCAAAGGCACUGGUUUUUAGUACACAAUAAGUAGCUAAAAUGCAUGAGAAUUGAGUAGAUGCAACAUUUUGAAUAUCUCAGUUGUAACUUUUGAAUGCAUAUGAAAUUUUGGCUUGAUUUGAUACAUACAUGCAUGCAUGCAUACAUAUGUAUGUGUGUAUGUGUGUAUAGAGAGAGAGAGAUUCUGGAAUGAAAUGACUCAUCGAAUUUAAGCUGGUUAGGGUAAAUAGAAGAGCUUAGAAGUGAGAGAAAUUCAAAGGCUGAAUGGUUAGUACACAAUAAGUAGCUAAAUUGCGUGUGAUCCUGUACUAGGUGACUAAGAGAUGCAAACCAGAAGACUUGUGUUUAUAAUACGAGAUUGCUAGCAUGUUAUGGGUGUGUAGCUGAAAGUCAAUAUUAGAAGAGAGUGAUUAUUUUCCUAUUAAGUUGACGAUUGGCACUUAUAGGAUUAAGUGAAAAUCUGUUGUAUUUGGGAGUUUUUAUGGUAAAAAAAUAGUGUGUAGGUUAAUGAUAAGAAAAGCUUGAAAAGUCUGACUUGAAAAGGAGGUGCAUCAAAAUGACCUGUAAUCAUGCAAUGGAAGGAAUAUAAACUUGGCUGGUAAAAUCUAUUACCCAGGGAGUACAAUAGAAGAUAGUAAAUCAUAGCUGGUGGCAUAUAGUUUAAGAUGAAAUUUUUGUUCAAGAUCUGAUCCAUGUCAGAAAGGAUGUGGCAAUUGUUGAAAGUAGCACGUUUCUUCUGUAAUCAUGGUGACUUUUUUGUUCAGUUCUUGUAAUUUUCAAGGGUGUCCAAGUGAACAAUAAAAGAGUCAUAUCUAUAGGUGUGUUUUCUUCGCAUAUUAUUUCUGUACAAUUAGAAAAGAAGAAAAAAGCCAUGUUGCAGGUUUUGUCAUCUCUUUCAACCAGAGGUCUUGGUACCUAUACUCUCUUUUUACUUAUUAACAGUUAUUCUGUUAGUCAAAGAAGAAUAUAAAGCUCACUGAUUUGCGUCUGGGCUUUUUACUUAUUAACAGUUAUUCUGUUAAUCAAAGAAGAAUAUGUAGUUCACUGAUUCGCUCACUAUACGCUGUGUGCUUUUGUUUCUCUCUCUCCAACUAUAUUGUUUAUACUCAAGAAUAACGUUGGUUAUGGUUAUCACUUGCCAUGGAUUUUACUUCUAUAGGUGAUGUGGUUCUGAAAGAUCUGAAAUUAAAGGCAGAGGCUCUAAACUCGCUCAAGCUUCCUGUCACGGUGAAGGCUGGUUUUGUUGGUACAAUAACUUUAAAGGUAUUCACUUGGUCUCUUUUUACUGUGUUGCUACUGCCAGAACCAUAUCCCCAUAUUCUCCAUCGCUAGAAAUAAGAAUUGUCUUGUUCAUGACUUUUUUCUUGCAUUAUUCUGUUUGAGAACUUACAGUUUUUAAUCUGUUUGAGAGCCUUCUAUUGUGUAUAUAUUUUAUAUCUGUUGCUUUAUAUGCAUUUCUAACAGCCAUUGCUUUAUUCGUGGAGAAUUACGAGUUGCCAUUAUUGAAUGAUGCCAUGUUUAUUACUAUAUGCUUAUUUAAGAAUUUUCUUAAUUUCUGUUCAUUUUGAGAGUAGCUUUGGGAGGUUUUUAAAAAAUCUACUUGAUCAUUUUAUCUAUGACUGUGAAUUCUUUUUUACUUAUUUUUAUUUGAACUGACUAUAUUCAAUAGGUUCCUUGGAAAAGUCUUGGAAAGGAGCCAGUAAUUGUGCUUAUUGAUAGAGUAUUUCUCCUAGCUCAUCCAGCGGCUGAUUCAAGGUCUCUUAAGGUAAUGAGGUAUAUUUUGUUCUGUAGAAAUGCUUACUCCCUGUUCAUCCUGUUAAUGGUAGUUGCUUUUGUUUCUUCUUCUCACCUUUGUCUUUAUAAGGAAGAGGAUCGUGAAAAGCUUUUCCAGGCCAAACUUCAACAAAUUGAGGUGAAGAUUUUUCAUGCUUAUGCAUCUUUAUGUUUUAUUUUUGCCUUCUUUCAUUUUGAUAUUGACAUAAUAGUAACUGUAAAGUUGGUUUGUACGCUUUAGAGUAGUUAGGUUGCAAUGCGACCCACAAUUUGGUGACAAGAGCCAUUGCCUGUGAAUUGUGCCUUUACUGUUACAUGAUCUUUAUGAUUCUUCGACAACAUGUGUUAGUAUCUUUUCUGCUAUUUAACUUGCAAAUGAUUUCUUUGUGUCCUUAUUUGGCAUUAAAUUAGAUGCAUACCAGGCUCUUCAUGAUGGAAUUAUGUAUUCGAUAUAUAAUAAAGCAAAUAAUGGCCUUCUACUACUUUUAAGGUGCUGUUUUUAACCUUGUUUCUUUCGUCUUUUGUUUUAAUAUAACCAUCCCUAUGAAUGGAAUUUUUUUUUACAACAGUUUCUCUAUUGUGUAUAUAAUGAUGUAAUGGAAAAUUGUUCAUUUGUAGUUAUUGCAUGUUUUAUAUUGUAAUUGAGGAUUGUUCAUUUAUUCUUUGGCUACACUGGUGCAGUAUGCCCCGACCUAUGAAAUGUACAAAAGCCUUUGCCCAUACUUUUGCCUUCUGGGAUAAUUAUAUGGAAAAAGCUUGUCUGGCAUAUAGGUGCAUAGAUAGACACUGAUGUUGAUGUUCCUGUAAGUGAAAAAAGUUAGAUUAAAAUGGAAGGGGCAAUGAUAAAAGAAAAAAUCUAUGAUAUAUUUUUGGAGAAUAUGGUAAUUGUUGCUAAUAUUUAACCGUAUGAAGUGGGUUUUUGCAAUACCACUCAAGAAUGCUUCUGCCAUUUUAUUAACAAAACUACGUGUUUAUUUAUGUAGGAAGCAGAAUCGGCCACCCUUGAAGCAUUAUCAAGAUCAAAGCCUGGAAGCGUAUGACCCUGGAUACUAGAUUUUGCACUAACAGUAGCUAUAUGAUCUCUGUAUUAUCUGCUACAAAUGUAUAUCAGCUUUUGAUGCAUUACAUCUCACGUGGAUGGUGUUAUCAUGAUAUUUUUGUUUGGUUUAAAAUCUUGAGUAAGUUGCUAUGUUAUUUUGUGCUAAGAAUUUGACCAUCCCUUUUGUUACUGAUGUAUUGAGAGGAUAGAAUUAUAUCCUAUAUUAAUAAUCCUCCUCCUUCUCGGGUCAAAUGCAAUUAUAUCCCACUAAGGUUGAUAUAUUUUUUUUCUCCAACUAAGGUUGAUAUGUAAGCACAGUUUCUUUUCAUCAGAUUUCUUGAUGUUACAGGCUAAUGAAAACCUUUUUGGUUAUUGUACUACAAAGUAUUGCGUUUUUCGGUCUUUGGUUUAGUUUGAAGUAUAAGAUUCUAAUAACAGGGAAAAGCCUUGAUGCAAUACUACACUGUGCAUUUCUUUUUUCUUAUUUUCCUUUUUGAGUUGGAUCAGGUUUGAUAUGUACUGAGAACCUCUGGACUGCAGUCUGCUGGUCUUAAGAUAAAUGUAGACUUUUACAUUAUUUCAUGAACUUGUCUUUCCUUUUUUGGGAUUCCAGCUGUUGACAUGCAUCAAAUUAUCAAGGGUAGAAUUGCAUCAAGGCCUGUGUAACUUCCUUUUUCCUUUUUUUUUUUGUGUGUGUGUGUUAAGCGGUUGACCAUCCCCUAUGCUGUUGAUGUAUUGAGAGGAUACACCCUGCAUUAGUAAUCCUCCUUUGUUUUCGGUCAAAUGCAGUUUACCUCACUAAGGUUGAUAUGUAAGCACAAUUUCUUUUCCUCUGAUUUCUUGAAGUUACAAGCUAAUGAAACCAUUAUGGUUAUUGUACUAAAAAGUACUGGGUCUUUCUUUGCGGUCUUUCGGUUAGUUUGAUGCAAUUACGAAAACAGUGGAUUGGUACUAUCAGAUUCUAACAAUAAGGCCUAGCCUUGAUGCAAUACUACACUGUGCUUUUUUUUUUUUAGCUAAUGAAACCAUUUGGUUAUUGUACUAAAAAGUACUGGGUCUUUCUUUGCGGUCUUUGGGUUAGUUUGAUGCAAUUACAAAAACAGUGGAUUGGUAGUAUCAGAUUCUAACAAUAAGGCCUAGCCUUGAUGCAAUACUACACUGUGCUUUUUUUUUUUUGGAGCUGGAAAGUCACAGGUUUGAUAUGUAAUGAGAACCUCUGGUUUGCAGUCUACUGUCCUAAGUUUCAUAAAUGUUGACUUUUACUUUAUCUCAUGCACUUGUUUUCCUUUUAUGGAAUUCUAGCUGUUGACAUGCAUCAAAUGAUCAAGGUUAGAGUUGAAAAUAAAAUGAUAGUGAAUUGACUCCUAACUGAAACUAAGGUAUGCUUGGCAUAAUUUCUCCAGGGAAGUUUACUUAGAAAUUGGGGCUUUUCAAAUGGGGCUUAUGUAUUGGGCUUUCAAGAUAGAAUGUAUUUGUCUUGUACAUUGUACGAAGUUCUUUUACUUUUAAACAACAUUUAUUCACUUAAAUGUUGCUUGGUGAAACAAAUGGAGAAGUGCACAUGAGUUUGUCAUUGACAAAGUAGUCUAUGUCUUGUUAGUCAUUUCUUGAAAGUUGUGAUAAAACAACUAUUUACCAUUCUUUUAGUGGGUUGCAAUCUCUCGGAGUCUAUUCUAAGGAAGCAACAACUAUGGCUUACUGGGGAGCCCUUCUCUACUUCCCGCCACAUUGUUAUGUUUCUCGAAGUAUCUUUGUGCUUUUAGUAAAGCCCAUGUGUAAAACCUAGCAAAUCAAGUUGAGGACCAGACUGUAAAGAGUUUACUUAACACUCUUGUCAGCUUUCAGUUUCACUUGACAAUUUAUUUAGCUUGUGUUUCUGGUUAUUCUGGAACAUUGUUGAGAUGUUUACUUUUGGUGAUGUAAUCUUGCAUUUGUCAUUUUGCAGCCAUCACCUGGUAAUUCUUGGCUGGGAUCAUUGAUUGCUACUAUAAUUGGAAAUCUCAAAAUUUCCAUUAGCAAUGUUCAUGUCCGCUAUGAAGAUUGGAUCAGGUCUGUUUUUGUCUUUUACUUGGAUGUCCUAGUUAGGGUUUUCCCAUUAUCUAAGUUAAUUGUUUGCUGCAACUGCAUUUCUAUUUCUACAGCAAUCUGGGACAUCCUUUUCAUGUGGUGUUACUCUUGCAAAACUUGCUGCUGUUACCAUGGAUGAGCAAGGGAAUGAAACCUUUGAUACAAGUGGGGCUUUGGAUAAGUUACGGAAGGUUGGUUAUUUGUCCUUAAAGUAGAGGUUGUUUGCAGAGCAUCACUUGCAGUGAAAUGCUAGGCUUAUAUGACUUUGUCCAUUUUGAGGAUAUUUCAUCAAGAAAUCCUGGAUGUUUAAAUUAUUAUAGGUUUCCUUCCCACAUGAUAGGAGUAUAGAGUGAAUUUUGUACACAGGUCACUAAUAUUCUAUGUUAAAUUUUUGUAAUCCCUGCUUUACUAUGACUUCCUUUGUGUUUCUGAAAGUAGCAAGCAUAUGAUGCUGAAGUAAGAUAAACUGCUGAAUGUUUAAACUGUUAUGUGUGGAGAAGCUGCUUCUAUUAAAUAUAUUUUCAAUCUAGUCAUUCAACUUUUUGUCAGUUGUUUAUUCAAAGACGUUGCAUUCUCGAACUACUGUGCAUUUGUUGUUAAGCUAUUGGUUGGUAAACUUUAUUUACAGUAGGCCAUACUUUCUGCUGUUGGUUUAACAUUGGUUGACAAGAGUUAUUGUCAUUGCAUUGCUCUUUCUACUGAGUUACAAGUUUUUGAUGGUGAUUUGUCUUUAUAUAUAUAUAUAUAUAUGAUGAUAUUGAAUAAAAAUGUUUCCUUGUUAGAGGUGUAUGGACCACGUAAUUGAAAGGAUAUAGUUGACCCUGUGAUUUAUUUGGCUUAGCAUGAAAUUAUGGGUAUGUUUGGAUUGGUAUUGUUUUCAAAAAAUUAUUUUCUUGCAUCACAACGCUUUUUUCAAUCAACUUUUUAUCUUUCAAACCACCUUUUAUCCCACAUACAUCACAUCAUAAAAAGUGCUGCAGUAAUUAUUCCAAAUAAAAUUUCAAAUAAUAUCCUAUCCAAACACACUUGUUGUUUUUGUAAGUGGCAUUAGCCACUGAUUUAACACACUAUUUUAACUAAUAUUGACGUAUGAAAAUUGGCCAUUGUGAUUUGAUAUUUGUUUGAAUUGAUAUGAAUCAUAUCUCUUGAGUACUUCAUGAAAUGAAUUCAGUACUUUUUCAGAGCCAUGAAUCCACCUUGACUAUCUGGACUUCCAUGUUCUCAGUAUAUUGUGUGAUUUUGUUGCAGCAAAUGACUUGAAAUGUCUGCCUGUAGAAUUGUCUUUCUUUCCAAAGUUCUAUAUAGGACUUGGCUACGCAUCUUUGUUUAGAAUAUUUGGACUAACUUCGUACAUUCUUGUUGUAGUCAUUGCAACUUGAAAGGCUUUCUGUGUAUCAUGAUUCCAACCGUGAUCCUUGGAAGUUGGAUAAGAAGUGGGAGGAUCUUAGUCCCAAAGAGUGGGUUGAGGUAUAUAAUCUUCUUGCAAGAGUUACUAGCUACAUCUCAUGUUCUGAUUUUCCCUUUAUGUUAGUUACAGAAGCAGUUAGGGAAGGGAUGCGACUUUUUUUAGCGGAUAUUUUAAUUUUGCAUAGUCAGUUUCUUGAUGCAUGCUUUCUCCUGUUUCCUUUUAUUAUAUUUUUCCUUAUACUGACUUUGUCUUUUAGAUCUUUGAAGAUGGUAUCAAUGAGCUUCCAAAUGGCAAUUCUUUGGUGUCUGCAUGGUCACAAGAUCGCAACUUCUUAGUGUCUCCCAUCAAUGGUGUGCUGAAGUAUCACCGUCUUGGGAAUCAAGAAAGAAAUGAUCCAAAUAUUCCGUUUGAGAAGGCUUCUCUUAUUGUCCCUGAUGUCUCCUUGGCGAUUACAGAGGUUAUAUGCUGUGGUUUGCUGCAUUAUUCUAUUAGUUUAUACCGACUUGCGUAUUGCAUCUUGCAUCUCUCUUAUUCUCUGUCUCCUAUGAAUUCCACCCCCAAAAGAAAAAAAGAGAACACCUCCACAAAAGCUCAGUACGAGAAAUUUUUAAUUCUGCCUCAAAACUGGCUUGAAAAAUUGUCUGUCUGAAUGAAAAUUGUGUAUGAUUGCUGGCCAAGACCAUCUGAUCAUUGUUUUUUUUCUGUUUGGAGCUCAUUAUUUGUAACUCUUCCAAAAUUUUCCUUUCCCGUCCUCUUCCUCUUUUUCUUAACAAAGAAAGUAUUUUUUAGUCAUUAUUGUUUUUUCAUUUUUAAAAAUUGUCUCCUCCAUUUUGCAACAAUGAAUGUAAUGAACUUUCCUUGUAGGCUCAAUAUCAUGACUGGAUAAGACUUAUGGAGGUGAUUUCAAGAUAUAAGACAUAUGUUGACAUCUCUCAUUUAAGACCAAUGGUUCCAGUUUCAGACAAUGCAACAUUAUGGUGGCGAUAUGCUGCUCAGGCUGGAUUACAGCAGAAGAAGAUGUGGUAACUCAUAUAUUGAACAGUAGUGCAAUGUUGCUAAAUAUGUUAGUUUAUACAUGAUUUUCCUCUUGCUCCUUUUACACAAGGUUUUUCCUAUUUAAUGAAUACGGACUUCAGUCCCUAAAUUAUGUAUUCUUAAGAAUUGUGUCAUUUAUGCAGUUGGUUUAUACUCUUAUCUAAAGUUUUAUACUAGUAUUAUUCUAUAAAUUAGUUUGAUUAACGCAUUCUCCUUGAUAUUUCAGUUACCGACUUUCAUGGGGCCAGAUUAAGUGCCUGUGCAAUCUUCGUCGACGUUAUGUGCUGUUAUAUGCUACUUCAUUACAACGGUCUUCAAAUAUUGACAACUCUGCUAUCAGAAAUAUCGAGAAAGAUCUAGAUCCCAAAGUUAUCCUUUUGUGGAGGUAUAGAGAGCUUCCCACGUCGCCCACCCCAAUCUUCUCUUGAGUUAAUUCUUUUACAUUGAUGGGGUUGUGCUUAUGGAAUGUGUUCUCAAACUAGUUGAUUAUUCCUCAACUAAGUUGUUGUGAGUUGUUCUUUGUUUUACCUACAUUUAAGUGGUGGGGUAUUCUUAUUAUGGUGAAGUGUGUGCGCACAAAUUCUGCUUCUUGUUCAAAAAAAUAAAGAAGAUAUGAUUUUGCUGUUCUGAUCUAUCAAGAGAGUUUUGCCCUGUUUAAGAUCAAAUCUAUGUGCGCCUUUUGCUCUAUCUGAUAUUGUAUCACUAGCUGAUUCUGGCCUACCAUUGAGUUUUAGUUAUUUUAAAUGGUCUGUUUGUGUGUCAAAACUUCAGAAGUCAGAGGAAUCUGUAUAUUUUGACUUUCUGAAAUUGUAAAGUUUUUGAACAUGAUUGGUUGGUUACUAGUACAUAUGUCAUAACAGGAGUUUUUAGUGGCCAUGGAAGUGAGAAGAGAAGUUGCAAACAGAAAUUUAUUAAGGUUAUGUCUUGCUGUGGUGUUCAUUUACCCUUUCCUUAGUUGAACUUGAUAAUUGUAGAUCUCAGCCUCCUACUAAUUCUUUGAGUUUGCAUCAUAUCUGCUAUUCAGAUGAUAGUGUUGGAUGCUUCAUGAUGUGACAAUGCCUAUUAUCCCUAGUUAAAUGGACGACAAAUAGAAAAUUUUCUUUUGAUUGUUGAGAGCAGACUUUAUAUGAACCUGUCAUACCUGAUGCAAUUAAAUCUUCAGAAGUUUUCCAAAUGGGAAUACGGUUGAUGUAUACUUGAUGGUACUUCUGUGCAACAGCUUCUUUUCCCUAGAUAAAUUACUAUGCAUAUGAUGAACUUGUAAAAGAAAAUAUAAUUGAUCUUGUAUUGUCAUGUUUAUAGUCGUGGGUGAUGACUUUUCUGUAUAUUGGAUGUGUCCCUCUAGGUUACUUGCCCAUGCUAAGGUUGAAUCUGUAAAAUCCAAGGAAGCAGCAGAACAGAAGAUGCUUAGGAAGAGAAGCUGGUUUUCCUUUCGAUGGUUUGUAAUUGUUUAUUUUCUUGAAUUUAUUUAUGUUUGUGUCCCUUGUUUAUAUGCUGCUUUAUUUUUCUGAAUUUUUUUCCUUUUCUUGACAAUAUAUUUAGAUUUGUCACUUAGUCCAUUUUCAAUGGGUUUAAAUAGUUCUUUCAAUCUCAGGCGAACUCCUCCCGAAGAUGUCUCAGCAGACAAUACUUCUGAGGGAUCACAGAUAGUGGAGGAAAGAUUGACUAAAGAAGAAUGGCAGGCAAUCAAUAACCUAUUGAGCUUCCAAUCAGAUGAGGAUUUGACCUUACAUCCAGCAAAAGAAAUGCAAAAUAUGAUCAGAUACUUGGUCGAUGUAUCUAUAACUAGAGCUGCUGCUAGGAUCAUCAAUAUCGAUGAUACUGAGAUUGCUUGUGGUAGAUUCGAGAAUCUUCAUGUGUCGACCAAAUUCAAGCAUCGAAGCACACACUGUGAUGUGACAUUGAAGUUCUAUGGAUUGUCUGCUCCUGAAGGCUCUCUUGCCCAGGUUUGCCUUUUGCAGAAUGCUUUGUUUACUAUGGCACGAUUUAAGCUAGUCAUUAUGCAAAUUAACGAGUGUUUAGACAGUAAAGAAAUAGAAUGGAACAAGAUAUGGAAAUCCUGUAAAUUGCCUUUUCCUACACUGUUACUAUUUGAUGUUUUAUAGUAGGUUAAUACCGAUUAGUUGUUUUUAGCUCAACUCGGACUUUUGACUGCUUCUGAUUAAUUUGACGCUUCUCAUUUUUGCUGUUGUUUAUAUUGCACUUUUGAUUGAAACUCAUAGCGAAACUACAAUUCUCGAAAGGAGCUAGUUAUCUCUUAGUAUGUUUUUGCAUUUAAUGAGUUCCUUGAUCUUUUGUUUUAAGGAAAAUUCCAUGAGGUUGGCUCUUAGUUUGCCAGUCCAUCUGCAAAGAAAUACUGUCUUGAAUGCUUAUUGGACAUUUUUAGGGGAACAUUAGGAAAUUAUAAAACAAUUUUUUAUUUGAUGGUGGGUAUUGUGAGAUCCUUUCACCUGUCCAGAUGGGGCAGUAUCAUGAAAUGAUGGUUUACUUCAAUCCAUAGCAGGGCAUUUUUUUUUUAAUGUAGUAAUUUUUGUUUCAGAGUGUUUGCAGCGAGCAGAAGGUGAAUGCAUUAGCUGGUAGUUUUGUUUAUUCACCAACGGGGGAAAAUCUAGACUGGAGGCUUUCGGCAACAAUUUCUCCCUGCCAUGUCACGGUAAUCAGAUUUGUUAGCAUGAAUUAAGUAAAAGCAUUUAUCUUUAUUAUUAUUUGGAGGUCCUCUGUUUGUUGUUGCUUUCCAUAAAUGAUGUGUAAAAUAAGCCAAUACAAUUGCAAACGGAACCUUCUGUAUCAUAAGAAAGAUCUGCUUAUGUUUUCCCUGGUUUGGUAGAUGCUGCUACUACUUUCCAUAUUAUCAGUAAUUGUGGCAAGUCAUUGUAAAGGACAUUUAUCUUUUAUCAUGCACUUGGUUCUUUACUUUUUGGAAGUAUUAUUGAACCUUUUUUCCUUCUAGAGUCAAAUCAGCAGGAUAUCUGGCAGCAUGAGUUUCUUCAGCCAAACUGAAAGUUAUGCAUUGAGUUUGUUUGGAUAGAGAGAAUUUGGAAAAAAAAAUUUUGCCUCACAAAUUCCAAUCACCUUUUUACCUUCCCAAUCACCUUUUUAUCUCACACACAUCACAUCACAAAAAGUGCUACAGUAAAUAUCCCAAAUAAAUCAUCCAAAUAAAUUCUUAUCCAAACAAACUCAUUGAUAUUUCAGUGGAAUCACACAGUGACAGUAGUAGUAUUGAAUGAAAACUUUGUGCUAAAGUAAGCUCUCUUGCUGCAGUCUCACAAAUUGUGAUCUGGAGGACGUGAAAACAUUGGACCCUUUGAUUUUUUUGGGGGGUGGGUUAGGAUUUUGGGUAGGGAGAUUUUGUGGAGGAUUCUUUUUUUUUAUUUUAUUGGAAUGCUCAAUCCAUUCAACUUUUACAGAUCUAUGGAUGGACUCUGAAACAGAUAACAGGAACUUAGGAUUUGAGAGCUUCUUCCCAAUGCCAUGCCUUUUCUGAAAUUUUUUCAUGUAAGAUAGGGACACUUCAAGAGUCAACUGAGAAGACAGGUUAACAAGUUAUCAACACGAUUCCUAUUAGCAUACCCAUAAUUCCACUCAUUCCCUGUUUUUCGGUACAUGGGAGAUUUAGCACACUUACACAGCAAUGUCCAUACUGGCUUGUAGAAGAACCUUAUUUAUAGCAGUCACUAGGGUUAAUUUGGUUAAGAUUCAUCAUCCUAGUGAAAGCAUUGAUUUCUUUGCAAGUAACCUUACCUUUGCAUUGAAUUGGAAGAUAAACUAAUGGAACAAUUUUUUGCAAUAAUGUAGAGUCAAACAUUUUGGUUGCUCCUGUUGUUGCUUUUGGAUUGAAUUUCUCAAAUAUUCUGAAUUGUCAACGAUUUGAUAGGUUUUCAUGGAAAGUUACAAUCGCUUUCUGGACUUUCUGAAGAGAAGUAAUGCUGUUAGCCCUGCAAAACUGCAACUGCAUUGCAGGUAUCAUUUUGUGCCUGUUUUUGUUUUAAUUAUCAUUUUGUGUCAAAAAGUCUGAUCUAGUUUCUUGUUGGUUAACUUGUGAUAUAAUGAAAAAUGCUUUAUCAUCUAUGACAGCAUAAGAUUGAGAAAGUGACUCGUAGAGCUCAAGAGCAAUUUCAAAUGGUGUUAGAAGAGCAAAGCAGGUUAGCCAAUUGAAUAUUCCUUCAAUUUUUUCACAUUUGGAUUUGGUUAUAGAGAUAAGAAGAUUCUUUAUGACUCUACAAAAUAAUUGUAGUAUUUGAAAAUGUUUUUAAGUGGUACCUAAUCAACCUCACUUGGUGUUGAAUCAAAAGCCCAUGUGCUUGAGUUGGAGAGAGAAUGGUACUUUUUAUGGUGUGGUUUCCUGAUAGCUCUUGUUGAGAGGAAGUGAUUCCAAUUUUGGUGUCCACUGCCUAAUGUUUCUCUUCUAUACCAUGUCUACAUGAUUCGAAUUUUCCUUAGUUUGGAUGGGACUCGAAUUUUAUGUUUUUAAUUCUUUGUCUGGAGUGUUAAAAGGUUCCAGACUUAUUUCUGCAAUCCCUACUUUGUAAAUUUUCUUUUGACUGAUAAUUACCUAAGUGUACAUAAGGAGAAGAGGAGAACAUUGCAUAUUAAUUGGCCAGUCUUAACCAUGGUUUGAAUGCCGCACUUCCCUCACGGUCUUCCUUCAACGACUGUGUUAUAAAUUUGUAUGACUUUUUAGAAUAAACAUUCAGAUGUUGAAGAGGCUAGAUGUACUGUCCUUUAGCAUAACAUUUUUAGUUGAUUUUUAUUUUUCAGGUCUUUUUAAUUAUAAAAAAAUCCCAUUUGUACUUGGUAUAUGUGGAUUUUGCCAUUCUGUCUGCUCUGUCGAUUUGUAUCUUUUUGUUGGUGCUUUACGUCCUCCUUAUUUUAACUUACAAAUUGAGAAAGUUGGCUCUGCUUCUCAGUUUGUUUAUGAAUUUUACUUGUGCUCCUAAAGUCCUUUAUGCUUCAGUUAUUCUUUGGAAUGUUCCAAUAGCUUCAGGGGUGUUUAGCUCUUCUUGUAAACUGUUGAUCCAUGCUUUGUUUUUUGAGGAGAAGCUUGCGUUUCUGACUUAUUGUUUCGGUCUUUCAGAUUUGCUCUUGAUAUUGAUCUUGAUGCUCCAAAAGUACGAAUUCCCAUUAGAACUGCUGCUUCUUCUCAAUGCGAUUGCCAUCUUCUUUUUGAUUUUGGUCAUUUUACACUGCGCACCAAGGUAUGUAAAUUUUUAUUAAUUCUUGUCAUGACUCUGCAUAUUAUUGGCUAAACCUGUUUCAAACUUGCAGGAUGAUGAUCAGUUCAAUGAUCAGGGCCAAAGUCUAUAUUCUCGUUUUUUCAUUUCCGGCAGGGACAUUGCUGCUUUCUUUUCAGAUUGUGGUUUGGAUAGUCAAAGUUGCAGUUUGGCAUGUCAGCCUUCAAUUUCUCCUAGUUUGCAAGAUGUAGAUAGCAUAUAUUCUUUAGUUGAUAGGUGUGGAAUGGCUAUUAUUAUUGAUCAGGUAUGCUUGAUAGAGGAGUAUCAUUACAUUGAAGUGUUUAACAAUCAAGAUUAAUGUUUUAGUUAUUGAUUAUCGUUAUACUGGUUUUUUGUUUUUUAUUUUGUUAUGUUGAUGAAGAUUAAAGCACCGCAUCCAAGCCAUCCGUCAACCCGUGUUUCCAUUCAAAUGCCAAGCCUUGGCAUCCAUUUUUCACCUGCCAGAUAUUGCUGGCUUAUGGAAUUGGUAAAUAUAUUUUAUGGAACAAUGGAAACCUCCGAGCAACUUGUGACUGAUAGUUUGCAGACUGAGUUUGCCCCCUGGAAUCCUCCAGAUCUUGCAACAGAUACUCGAAUACUUGUUUGGAGGGUAAUUGUUUGCUUAGAGAAUGUAAUCAGCACUAGAAUAUUUCUCUUCAUCUCAAUCUACUAAUCAUAUUCUUUCCUUUCAGGGGAUUGGCUAUUCUGUUGCAGCAUGGGAACCUUGUUUUAUUGUGUUAUCUGGCUUUUAUCUUUACAUUCUGGAGUCUGAAACAUCCCACAGUUACCAGCGCUGCUUGAGGUUGACUUAUUACUGUCAUUCGUAUUCAACCUGUUGCUCCUUUUAGUUGAGCAAUUUUUGGUGUACAUAUGAGUGCCAAAUAAAACUCUUUUGUCAUGCUCUUUUGGUUGCCUGUUAAGAAAAGAUUUUAGUUUUGAUCUGUAGGUGUUCUUUCUUCAGUAUUACUUAAUAUAUGUUGAUGUGUUGCAGCAUGGCUGGUAAACAAGUAUUUGAAGUUCCUCCUGCCAAUGUUGGUGGUUCACUUUGCUGUCUUGCUGUUUGUGUCAGAGGUGUUGACGCUAAAAAGGUAGGCAAUGUGUACUUUGAUGAUCAAGUUGUGGACUAUUUUUUUUUUUGGCUAUUGGACUUAUUGUUAUAGUAUCUAAGUAGUUGAAGGCCUUGAUAUGAGGCUAGAACCAUAUAUGAGGAUCCAGGAAGGCAGCAAAUUAUCUAGGCAUUUGUCUGUUUGCUAGGAUAGUGUGGCAAAGUGAAGGAAAGUUAAAUAUAUUUUUCUUCAUGUAUUUUUGGUUAGUUUCAAUUUUUUCUGCACUGCUCUCCACUUUCCUGCAUUGUGUUUUGUGCAAAAUAGUUGGUUAGACAACAUUUGAAUACCUGCUACCAUAUCACUAUGUUCCCAUUUUCUCUCAAACUUUUUUGGGCAACCAAAUGUGCCUGGAAAAUAAUUUUAGUUUUCCUUUGCCUCGCUUUCCUGCCUUUCACUUUCCCACACAACAUUCCCUCUAUUCAAACACAGCCAUAGAGUCUUUAAAGUAAAGGAUGGUAUAGAUCAUUGAAGCCCAGUAUUUCACCUAUUGUGCGACAAACUAGUGCUGUGGAAAAUUUUGAAGAGUUACCGUAUGCUUUGUAUUAUCACAAGUUUAGAUGAAAACAAACCUUAUUAUUUAGCUUUGUUGUUCAAGACAUAUGUUCUAGCCAUUUCCCAUGCCCUCAAUUGUUGAUUGGCAGUAGAAUUAUUAAAAUAGCUCAAUGAUGUAUAUUCUUCCUAUUGAGCCUCUUUUUUGUGCUGAAUUGGUCCCAAGUUUCUUUGUCAGACAUCAGAUUUUGAUUUGAUAAUAAUGAACAGAUAUAUAAGACAGCAUAUUAAGGUUUUCUCAUGCUUCAUUUUAAUGCAGCGGUUUUGCACUUAUUUUUUUCCUAAUCCUUGAAUUUUAUACUGGUUUCCUUUAGUUGUUUUAAUCAAAAUAUUCAUUCUGGCUUGAAUUUUUGUUUUAAUUGUAUUAUUGGUUCUGGCUAGAACUUGUCUGAAUUUGAUCUUUGUUUCUUAACCAUGCCUUUAACGUGUAUGCCUUUGCAUUCUUUUAUGGAGAUUUUUGUCAUGAACUCAAUCUUAUGCUACCUCCUUAGGCUCUGGAGUCUUUUAGCAGUUUGAUUAUUGAGUUUCGAGAUGAGGAGGAGAAGGCAGCUUGGAUGAGAGGACUUGUGCAGGCUACAUAUCGAGCUUCUGUAUGAUUCAAAAUUAUUUUGUUUUGGUAGUCAAACUUGAAAUGCUGUAUAUUAUUGUUUUUGUACACUAAUUUUCAUAAUCGUCGGGAUAGGCUCCUUCAUCUGUAGAUGUAUUUGGAGAAUUAAGUAAUGAUGCAUCAGAGCUUGCUGAAUCUCAUGCCAUUCAUGUGAAGUCAGUUGACCUUGUUGUUAACGGGACAUUGGUAGAAACAAAAUUAUCGUUAUACGGCAAGGUUGGUCUUGUGCUUUUCCAUGCUAAUUACAGUUGAAUUUCCAUUAUGAUAAUCCUAUCAGUUAUUUAGAUAGCUCUUAGUGUAAUUUGUCUCUGCUAUUUACUUGCCAAUUUGCAGUCCGAAGAUGAGAUGAACAGGAGACCUGAGGAGAGUAUAAUUCUUCAGGUUCUUGCUGGUGGGGGAAAGGUGUGUUACGUGUUGUAUACUGGAAUAUUUAAUGGUAUUUUGAAUAAGAUUCUUCUCUACAUUAUGUCUGGAAUAUUCAAUAGUAUUUUGAAUAAUAUUCUUCUUUACAUUAUGUUCUUGUAUGAUGUCCAAGUGAUUAGUUUUUCAUAGGUAUGUUCUAGGCUCACAGAUUAAAGAAUCUUUAUUCUUUCCUAUGCGUCUUUUCCAUGCAGAAAUGGUAGCUGAUGAAAUAAGAAUAGAAAUUUGUCAUAGUGUUUUGGUGCGAGGAGAGAUGGGAAAGUGAAUGAAAGUUAUCUUCUCCUUUUUGACUGUCUGGCAGGAAAAAUAUCCUAUAUUUAUCCUCACUUCUGUGCAUUUUAUGUGCUGCAAAGUAUCCUAUAUUUAUCCCUCAGUUAUAUUUAUCCUCUAUUUAUCUGUAGAUGAAUAUAUGAUAAAUAUCCUAUAUUUAUCUGUAGAUUGCAUAACUAUUUCAGGGAUUAAUUCAGCUUUGGUUCAUCUGCAAUUGUUUGAUUUGCUUGAGUAUUGAGAUGUUGGUAUUUACCAUCUUCAACAUGUGUUGCUUUGCUCUUUUUAGGUGUGUGUAUCACGUUGCAUAGGUGACCUAUCUGUUAAGAUGAAACUGCACUCAUUGAAAAUUAAGGAUGAACACCAGGGCUCCUCCUCUUCUGGUCCACGGUAUCUAGCCCGCUCUUUUGUUGGGGAUCGAGAUUCAGGCCACAACCUUGAUUUGUUGAAUCUGAUAGGAGAGAGCAGUUGAUGAUGGAAGAGGAUGAUAACUUCAAAGAUGCUUUGCCAGAAUUCAUGCUCUUGCCUGAUUCUCCUGAAACAUAUAUUGAUGAGAAAGACAAGUUGAAGGGAAAAAGUGUUGCCAGUGAUGUUUUCUAUGAGGCAGAGGGUGCUGAUGACACUGACUUUGUUUCUGUUAUAUACUUGACACGAAGUCCUGCUUCUCCUAAUUAUGAUGGUAUUGAUACACAGGUAAUUGCAUGAUCUUUUUUAAACAUGGUGGUAGUAAACAUUUGGAAAUUAAUUGUUUCAUUUGCUGGCUAAUUUUUGUUAAAAACCUUUGCAGAUGAGUAUUAGGAUGUCCAAGUUGGAAUUUUAUUGCAACAGACCUACUCUUGUUGCUUUGAUCAAUUUUGGCUUUCAAAUUAGUUCAGCAAAUAGUGGGGCAAAUGGUUCAAAGGCGGUAAAUGUUUCAGAUGAUGAAUCUUCGUGAAGAAAGAGAAGACCGAAGAAUAUGGGAAUUCAUUUGUUACAGGGUUGCUGGCUAUGGGAAAGGUCGGUUGUGUUUUAUAUGAAUAUGAAUGUUGACAGUGUGACUGUAUUUCUCAACAAUGAGGAUGGCUCUCAGCUCGCUAUGUUUGUGCAAGAAAGUUUCUUGUUGGAUAUCAAGGUGUGAUACUGAUGCCAUUUGUGUUGUAAAUUUUGACAUUUAUAUUUAGUUCUAGAGUCCCUGGAUUGAUUAUUCUCAUGUCAUUUGAUGGCUUAUUGUACCGGGCAAUCCUCGAUUCAAUCUUUUUCAGGAAAAGUAUGGAUUAAUUUCUUUUUUUUUUUUGUGCUAUGCAAUAUGACCUGCUUAUUGCUCUUCAUGUUUUGCCUGGACUAAGGUUCAUCCAAGCUCUACUAGUGUAGAAGGAUCACUAGGAAACCUUAGGCUGCGUGAUCUCUCACUUGGAUCAAAUAACUUUUGGGGGUGGCUCUGUGAUAUACGAAAUCAGGGUACUGAAUCCCUUGUGCAGGUACCCUACCAAUCCAUUUCAUAUGUACUGAAUUAGUUAAAAACUUUGAAGUUUAUUGUCUAUUGUUUAUUAACCUCUCUGUAUGCGUGCAUGUGUGUGUCUCAGUUCAAGUUUAGUUCUUACAGUACUGAAGAUGAUGAUUAUGAAGGAUAUGACUACAGCUUGCAUGGCCGACUUUCUGCAGUUCGAAUUGUUUUCCUCUAUAGAUUUGUUCAGGAGGUUAGUUUGAUUUUUUUUUUGUACUGCUCCAUGAUUACUUCUUUAGCUUAAUAAGCAUGAUGUCCUAGAUUCAUAGAUGGAUAGAUGUCUUUUGAACGUGGGCUGCCUCCUCCUUUCUUCUGCAAUGGCUCCUCAAUUGCAUGAAGAUAACAUAUCCCCUCUCUCUUAUGCGUACAAUUGUGUAUAUCCUCUCUUUAUAUAUUCCUAUCUGUAAGUGUGUGUGUUUAUCCUUGUCAGAUAGGCCAUAAGAAAUUUCUGUUAUGCUUUAUAGGAUAUAACAGCAUCUAGGCAUUUUUGUUACUGAUAUAAUAUGGUGAUAUGCAAGAGCAUUUUGGAUAUGAAAGCUACCUACAUCUGUCUUCCUUUUGCUUAAAUUAUUUUACAUUGUAUUCUUUUGCCAUUAAUUGUGCAUUACAUUUUUGAGUAAGAGCUGCAUGUGUUUCUUUAGAUAACUGCUUACUUUAUGGAGCUCGCCACUCCACAUACUGAGGAAGCAAUCAAACUUGUUGAUAAAGUUGGAGGUAUUGAAUGGUUGAUUCAGAAGUAUGAGAUUGAUGGUGCUUCUGCCAUUAAGCUGGAUCUCUCGCUAGACACUCCAAUCAUAAUAGUCCAAGAAAUUCGACAAGCACAGAGUUAGUGCAUGCUCAAUAUUUUGGUAUUUUUUAGUGGGUGCUUUUAUGUGCACAAUGUAUUCUCUGACUUGCAUUUUCUUGGGGGUUUGCCAUAUACAUGAUGUCUUAAGCUUUAGGAAACUUAUGUUUUAAUUAUGGAUCUUAAAUUUUAUAUGCAUAUAUUCUUUAUACUAAACAAGGCUUGUUUCCAGCAUUUGGACAUAGAGUACUAUAUCUGCCUCACUGCUUUAUUUGACUCAAUUUCUCAAUUUCUAACCCAUUCUUCCAUUUUGCCAACCUUUCUACAUGAUUUACUGACCUUCUAUUUGCAUCAUGCUUGUUUCAUGACUUGCAUAAGUGCAAGAAUUAUAGCUGACUUAUCUUGAAAGAACGAACUUAUUGCAUUUCUUUGAUGCAGCUUCAUGCAACUUGAUCUAGGCCAUUUACGAGUCAAAAACGAAUUUAGUUGGCAUGGUUGCCCCGAGAAAGAUCCUUCAGCUGUUCAUCUGGACAUUCUUGAUGCUGAGGUAAUUAAUUUUCAUCGUUUUCUUAUUUUAAACCAAAGUUUUAGGUACUAAUACGAAUUUUGGUUGCUAUAUUUCAGAUUGUAGGAAUCAACAUGGCAAUUGGAGUUGAUGGUUCUAUUGGCCUACCAAUGAUACGGGAGGGCAAUGAUAUUCAUGUUUAUGUACGGAGAAGUUUGAGAGAUGUUUUUAGGAAAGUCCCAACAUUUGCUUUGGAAGUGAAGGUAAAUUGUGUUAUUAAACAUUGAUUUAGUUACCUUUAGUUUCUUUGUUUUCUUUUAUUUUGGUACAAGCAUCUUUAAAUUGUGUUAUCCUUCAAUGCAUGGAAUUAAAACUUGGAACUUUUAAAGCAUUUUGGUGCCUGCUGUAGACCCUACUUGACUGAUGGCAUUGGUCUUUAGCAUGAAGACCUUAGUUUCCAAUGGGACACUGCACUGAGGGCUAUUUUGUUUGCCAGACUUUGAUCUUAUGAUCUUCUGGGGUUUGGGACAUUGAAAUGGGAUAUGGGAACUUGGCUGACUUGAGGCUGAGCAUUGUGAAAUUUUCCAUCUCAUCGUUUAAUUAUAGCUUGAAAAUGGAACAGUACUUCUUUGGCAAAUCUAUGAAUCUGAAGUUAGAUCAUUCACAUUUUAUGCUCUUUCAGCGUUUGACAGUUCCUUUAUGUCUUACUUUUGUUUUCUUCGUUUUUCAUUCUUUCUAUUUGGGUAACAGGUUGGUUCAUUGCAUGCCGUGAUGUCUCAUAAAGAAUAUAAUGUUAUUCUUGAUUGCUUCUAUAUGAACUUAAAUGAACAACCAAGACUUCCUCCUAGCUUUCGAGGCACAAGUCUGCUUCAAAAGAUACAAUAAGAUUGCUGGCAGAUAAGGUCAACAUGAAUGGUCAAGUAAUUUUGUCACGAACAGUUACGAUAAUUGCUGUAAAAGUCGACUAUGCGCUAAUGGAGGUUUACCACGGACUUCUUGAGGAAUUACCUCUGGCUCAUGUUGCUGUGAGUACCUCUGUCCAUAGAAUGCAUUUUUAAGCCUAGUCUUCAAGAGUUGACCGUUGGAUUUUGGUUAGGAGUAUUUAUCAUAUUCAUUUUAAUAAUCAAGAAUGUCUUUGUUUGUCAUAUUCAUAUCCUCUUUAAGGAGUAUUUAUCUGCAUAUAUCCCCUGUUCUUGCAGCUUGAAGGUCUUUGGGUAUCAUACCGAAUGACUUCAUUGUCCGAAGCAGACCUUUAUAUUACCAUUCCCAAGUUUUCGAUAAUAGAUAAUCGCCCGAGUACGAAACCUGAAAUGCGCCUGAUGCUUGGUUCUUGUACUGAUGUUAUGAAGCAGAUGUCAUCUGAAUCUACAGCUGAUGUACCCACCUCAACAAUGUUUGUGAUGGAUUGUCGAUGGCGGUUAUCAUCCCAAUCAUUUGUUGUUCGGGUGCAACAGCCUCGUAUUCUAGUUGUUUUAGAUUUCCUUCUUGCUGUUUGUGAGUUUUUUGUGCCAUCUUUGGAACGCUUACUGGCAGGGAGGAGAUGAUGGACCCCAAGAAUGAUCCAGUUAUUAAAAGCAAAAGCAUAAUCCUACUGACUCCGCUUUACAAACAGAUAGAUGACAUGGUGAUUUUAUCCCCAAACAGACAGUUAGUAGCUGAUGCUGUUGGUGUUACUGAAUAUGUAUAUGAUGGUUGUGAAAGACUAUCUGUCUCUCCGAUGACAAAGAUAACAAAAGUUUCAGUCAUCAGGAAAUUGGCCCAUAAUUGUAAUCGGACGCGGCAAGAGGUUGAGAUUUAUGAAUGUGAAAAUCGAGGUAUCAAGACUUGCUCUGAUAAUGGCAUGAAUGAGUAGAACAUGCUUGUCGUUUAUUUAUAUACAUAAUAAAUCAUUACAAAUGCACAAAAGGGUAAAAUUUGAGGUGUACAGGAGAUAGGCAUUAUACUUUGAAGCUUCGCGACAACAUAUUCUUUUAACUGAAUUAAGCUUUGACUAGUGUUAUAUUUGGUUCUAUAAAGGAGUCAAAUAUCUGAUUUGUUAUUUGGUAAUUUGGUGAUUGUCCCCUCGUGUCUGGAUAUCUUCCUCUCACUUUCUUUUUCAACUCUUGGUUCUUUUCUUAGUGUCCUCAAAAUUAACAAUGAAACUAUUUCUAGCUGCUCUUAACUGAUUUCUAAUGCUCGAGAUUUUUCUAAUUUAGCUGUCAAAAUUUUGGCUCUUCCAUGUUAAGGGAAUUGAGGAAGAAGAUAAAAGCAGGCUAUGGAUGAGUAAUAAAUUGUCUGCUUGCAGUCGCAGGAUGAAUUACUAUCUUUGGCAAUGAAGUUCCAUAAUAUCUAAGAAUUCUCGCAACACGGUCUAUGAAGACCCUAAUAGGGGUUUGAUGAUGGAACCUCUUAUUGCGUGUGCUCUCUAGAUGUAUUCCUGUGCAGUGUUCUUGAGCAUAUGAAUUUCUGGAGAUAUUCUAGCUACUGUUCAGUAUUUGUUGCAUGGCUUGCAUGUUUGGAGAAUUUUGAACCUCUUUCUCCAAACCAUCCCUUCUUGAGCUUUCUUCUGGUUUUUAACAUUUUGCUGAAAUUAGUUCAUAUGUCCACUGGAAAAACAUUGUCUGCUGCAUGUGUUUUUAAAUCACUUUCUUUAUUUGAUGUUGCUUAUUUUUCAGAAUGGUUCACUCUUGACCAAGCACACGUACUUGAGUAAUGAAAGCAGCUAUACAGUGUUCCAAGAGGAUGGUGUGGAAUUAUAUUUCUGAGAGUAAGUCUUCUAAUGGCAGAAAACAUCCAGAUCACAGGGAAGAGUUGUGUUAUACUUCUGAUGCCUCUGACUCUUUUCAAACUGAAUCAUGCAAGUUGCAAAGUUUUGAACUGGAUCUCUGGUUUGAUUUGACUUGCUGUGAUUAUAUUGAUUUUGGGUUAGUGGCUACUAAGAAUAACUAUGUUCCGCCAUUGCUGGCUAAAGACUGUUUUCUCAGCUAUGAGAUGACUAGGCUGAGCUACUCAAUCUCCUCUCUAGAUACAUGCGCUAAGCAGGGUCUUGAAGUUCUUUUAUUCCCAUUUUCUAUAUUACUGUUGGCUAAACUCCAAUCAUGUUGCCUUGGAAAUCCUAAAGUUCGCAUUAUUAAAUCUUAUUUUUGUUGGGCCUUAUCCUUGAGCAAUGUGUUCCAUUUACUGUUGCAUGUUCCAAAUCAUCUGCAAAUGGAUUGUAUAACUGAGCUUUUCAGGUGUUGAAUGUGAGAAUAUUCUGUGUUCUGUAUCAUAGAUAUACAUCUACAAGGCGGACAGGAACACUUAUUAGUAUUGUUACUGGAUUAGCUCUUCUUUUUGCAGCUAGUAUGCCACUUGCACUUCUCAAAGCUUUCUUAUUUUUUUUCCUCCUGUUCUGAAGUCUUUCUUCUAAGUUAGCUUGUUAUUGUCAUCAAACAGAACUUUGUAAUGAGCAAUUAGUAAUAAGCGGAGAGAAUUAGGUGGAGUUCAUCUUCUUUGAUAGAUUCUUUGCUGGGAGGUAACUGUUUUAGCUAGAGUUAGGAACUAAGAAAUAAGUGUACAAACAAUGGCCAAAAAGUUAGAGAGUUAGGAACUGAGGAAUAUGCUGUGGAGGAUGCAUUGUUAUGGUAUAUCAAGAGGUCAGAUUCAUUUAGCAUACACCAGAGUGCUCCUCCAAGGAGAAAGCCACAAAAUAUCCGUGUUGUAGGCUGUGAAGAAAUGAGUGACCACAAAUAAAGCUGAAUAAACAGAAGGACAAAAUACACUUUUUAGCAUAUAACUCCCUUAUGGUAUAGUGCUUUACUACAAAAUAUAUACAUACCCCCCUAUGGUUAAUAAAUAAUUUUCAACUUUACAUAGGGAUUACUUUUGACAUUUUAGUUGACUUCGUUAUGGAAUACAAAUUCUGUCAUUUUGACACUUUAAUCCAAACCAUGAGGGGGAUAUGCAUAGCUUUUGAAACCAUUCGGGGGUUUAUGUGAAAAAACACUUAAGCACAGGGGGGUAAAGUGUAUUUUGCCCUAAACUGAACGGGGGCAGGUGAAACUUGUGGUUUUGAAGAAAUUAAACUUCUAUGAACCUAAACAAAGAGUCAGGUUUUCUAUGCUAAUGCUGAAUACUUGCUGAAAGUAUGGUGGAUUUUAGUUGAGUUGUUUGAAGGUGGAUCUAGAAAUGCAUGAAGGGGUCCCCUGGUGUUUCAAAGUCUAAGCAUCUUCGUGAACCUGAGAUUGUCUUGUGUGUCAAAUAUAAGCAGCCUAGCUAUAGUAGGAAUUGACAGUCUAUAGCUUCGGGCUUGUCCAUUAAAAUAUUGUAUGUAUUGCACAAUAAACGCCGUUUUCAGUUGCUCAAAACAGGAUUUACACGAUCAUGAUUACAAAUAUGCAAAGCACAGGAUUUGCUUCCUCAAAAAGUUGGAUCUCCAUUUGACAUUUAGCUUAUGUAUUGUUGCUUGUGUUUCAAUACUUCACUCAAUUUGCUUCUUGCUUUCCCCAGGUUGUUUCCCCUGAAUUGACCUUUUAUGACGGUAGCAGCUCAUCCGUUGAUGAUUCUACACGUGGUGAAAAGCUUCUUCGUGCAAAAAUGGAUAUUAGCUUCAUGUAAGACCUAAUAGCAUUUUAUACAACUCAAUUAAUUUAACUUUAGCUUUUCCUUUUCUGAAGUAUUGUGGCAGUAAUCUUCUACAAUGAGCUUGAAUUUGAAACUUAAGCUAAAUGGGAGAUUUCUUGCAUUUUCUUUCUUUCCAAACUUUAACUGUUCAUUGCAAUCUUUGUGGCAGUCAAGAAUGCUUUCUAUUUUCUGAUGCUUGAAUGUGCUGAAAUUUCUAGUUAUGGUGUCUUUAUUAGUUGAACAGUAACUCCAAACGCAAAAUGUACGAGUAGUUUCCCUGCAGGAAUAUUUGGUUUUGGCCUUCUCUUUUCCGGGUUUAUUUUAGCUGAAAUCUAUACCAACUACUUGAUUAUCCAAGGUAUUGAUUGACUGUCUCAACAGGUAUGCAUCAAAGGAGAGUGACACAUGGAUUAGGGGGCUUCUGAAGGAUCUUAGUCUAGAGGCUGGUUCGGGACUUAUCAUACUUGAUCCAGUUGAUAUUUCUGGUGGAUAUACAUCUGUCAAGGAUAAGAUGAAUAUUUCUGUAACAUCCACUGAUAUAUGUGUUCAUCUCUCGUUAAGCGUGCUGUCCCUUUUACUGAACCUACAAGGUCAGGCAACUGCAGCAUUACAAUUUGGAAAUGCAGAUCCCCUGUCUCCUUGUACCAACUUUGAUCGAAUUUGGGUGUCUCCAAAAGGUUUUUCUCGAGUUUUCUAUUAACUUAUUGUUAUGAGGUUGUUUACGUGCCAAAAUCCAUCUUUUUCUUCAUUUGUUUGCUAGUAAGAAAAAGACUUAUUUCCAUAUUGUUAUGUGCAUAAAAGUUGGAGGAUUGACUGCGUUUUCUGUGAGCAGAAAUUGGGCGUCAUAACCACCUCACCUUUUGGAGGCCUCGAGCUCCUUCAAACUAUGUUAUAUUGGGAGAUUGUGUUACAUCAAGGUAAUCAGAACAGCUUCUUGAUUGGAACAGAAUAUGUAAAUACUUGAUUUGAUAUGCACUUUUUGCUGCCAUGUUUGUGCUAGGUUUUGUCUGUUAAUAGUGGUGAAAUUGCUUGUUACUCUUGCUUGGGAUGAUUAAAUAAGUUUAACUUAUACGCUUCCUGAGUAAAAAGAAACGUAGACGAGUAUGUCCAAUUUUUGCUAAGUGCAAAAAAUCUUCUUAUUAAACUGUAUGAUGUAAGUAAUGAUUCGGUAGCCAACGGCAGCUUUGUUGGCAUAAGUCAUUUUUAAGUGACAGGAUCUAAUAAAGACUUCUUGAUUUAAAGCAGAAACACUUUAGUGACAGAAGCCUUAUAUUGAAUUUCAACUUGACUGUGAUAAUGAUGAUUAAAAGUAUGAGAAGGGUUAUUUCCGUUAAGACGCAAAUAGGUUUCAUAUUGUACAGUUGCACUGCAAAUAUGAAAAUCUUUAAGAUUCUCAGAGAGAAGCUCUCUUUUUUUUUUAUCAGUUGCUGUUGGGUGUGGUGACUUAUGAAGAAUGGACUUGACAUGGUUUUGUAGAAGAUAUCACUUGGGUUGCUUUUGGGCUUGUAUUUUUUGUACUUUCAUUCAUGGCAGUUACUUAAGAUGGAGAGGUGCUGAUUCAGUCAGCAUCAUCAUUGCAGCAUUACCCCAUAAAUUGUUUAAUUUCAAGUCAGGAUCCUUUCAGAUGGUGUAUGUGAACUGUCUUGAAGUGUCAACUUUUCCACUAAUACCAUCUUUGGUAUGCAUGAUGCAUUUUUUUUUCUGGGAAAUCUCCAUUGUUUCACCAUGUCAACCUUGGUGGGUUCCCUUGUGUUUUUGAACUGUUGUUUGCUUUGUCUUCUGUAGAUGUUACCUGUUUAAGUAAGAUUUGGAUAUAGAUACCUCUUUUUUAAUAUUCAGAUUGUGGUUACUUCUUUUCAGGCCAAGUCCUCCUUCACAGACUGUUGUGGCUGUUAGUAGCAUGUAUGGGCGUGUUCGAAAACCUCUUGAUUUCAAGCUUAUGGGCACCUUUUCUGGUAUUCAAGGAUCAGCGGGUUUAGAAGGUCAUGCAAAUGAUCAUUAUGAUUGUUCUCUUUGGCUACCAAUUGCUCCACCAGGAUAUUUGGCUCUAGGGUGCAUUGCCCAUGGAGGAAAGCAGCCACCACCUACUCAUAUUGUUCAUUGCCUGCGAUCUGAUCUUGUAACGUCGACUAUGUAUUCAGAAUGCAUAUACAGUGCAGCCUCUUGUGGUUCCUAUACAUCUGGUUUUUGCAUUUGGCGUUUGGAUAAUGCUUUUGGGUCAUUUUAUGCGCAUCCAUUCACCUGCAAUCCUCCUUUGAACAAUUGUUUUGAUCUUAAUCAUCUACUUCGUGGGUUCUCUUGUCAUCAUUCUUCUUCCUCUAGUCAAGUUGCAUCGAGUUCGGUGCUAAGCAUGAGGAUACACGUGAGCUUGUAACUACUCAGGGUACAACUUCAUCUGGAUGGGAUAUUCUCAGAUCCAUAUCAAAAGCAACAACUUGUUACAUGUCAACCCCCCACUUCAAGAGAAUCUGGUGGGAUAGAGGUAGUGAUCUUCGCCGACCGGUCUCUAUAUGGCGGCCUAUGCCACGUCCUGGUUAUGCUAUAUUGGGUGACUGCAUUACUGAAGGGUUAGGAUUCAGUCUUCUGCAUUCAUUUUAACCUUUGAUUAUACCUAGCAGUUCUGUAUCAUUAUUUAUGGCAUAUUUGUUUCCUUCUCAGCUUGGAACCACCUCCCUUAGGCAUCAUAUUUAAGGCUGACAAUCCUGAGAUUUCCUCAAAGCCUGUACAAUUCACCAAGGUUGCUCAUAUUGGAAUGAAAGGUCUUGAUGAAGUGUUCUUCUGGUACCAAUUGCUCCUCCUGGUUAUGCUUCUAUGGGUUGCAUUGUAACUCAAAAUGAUGAAGCCCAAAUUUACAAUUGUUUUGCUGCCCGAGGUUGGAUCUUGUUAGCCAAACCAAUGUACUUGAGAUGCCAAUAACAAAAUAUUCGAGCUCAAAGGCAUCCCAGUGCUGGAGCAUUUGGAAAGUUGAAAAUCAGGUUAGGAUUGGUAUGCUGGUGUCCAUUUGUCUCUAUGCCUGGAUUCUGACUGUUUCAUUUCAAGAUUUUAUCCUGAUUUGCACAGACAUGCAAAUUAUAAAAUCUCCCUUUAUCAUUUGGACUCUAACUUAUUUAUUUAGGCAUGCACUUUCCUUGCCCGCUCUCUGAAAAAACCAUCAAGUCGAUUGGCAUUUGCCAUUGGGGAUGCCGUGAAGCCAAAGGCAAGGGAGAACAUAACAGCUGAGAUGAAAAUAAGAUACUUCUCUCUGACAGUUCUGGAUAGCUUAUGUGGAAUGGUUCGUGCCACCUGGGAAAUAGUAUCAGAUUUCCUUUUUUUCUUUUUGUGCAUCUGCUAAUAAGGUAGUUUAAUUUUGUCAUUUCCAGAUGACCCACUUUUUGAUGCAACAAUCACUAAUCUCAAGCUUGCAACACAUGGGCGGUUAGAAGCGAUGAAUGCUGUCCUGAUUGCUUCAAUAGCGGCUUCAACUUUUAACACACAAUUAGAAGCGUGGGAGCCACUUGUCGAGCCUUUUGAAGGAAUAUUUAAGUAUUGUUACAACCUUUUUUCCCUGUCAAAGUUUUUGCAAUUUAUAAUUUUUGUAUAAACAUCAUUGUUUGCUUUUUGUCAGGUUUGAAACCUAUGAGACAAAUUUAAAUUUGCCAUCAAGAAUAGGCAACAGAAUGCGCCUUGCUGCUACCAGUGUUCUAAAUAUCAAUCUUAGUGCAGCAAAUCUUGAGACAUUUGUGCAAACCAUCACUUCAUGGAGAAAACAGAGAGAACUAGAAGAGAAAUCAGUGAAACGAAUUGAGGUUAAUGUAUCUCUAAAUCUCCAUGGUUGCUUCAUUUUAUUAUAGGUUGCUUACUAGGUUAUUGGUCUUGCAGGAAGCUAGUCUUCAUGAUGGACAUGGUGAUGAUGCAACUUUCUCAGCACUGGAUGAGGAUGAUUUCCAGACUGUGAUAAUAGAAAAUAAACUUGGGCGUGAUGUUUUUAUCAAAAGAGUUGAGCAAGAUUUUGAUACAGUUGAAUUAUUACUUCAUGAUUCUUGUGCCUCAGUAUGGCUUCCGCCUCCAAGGUAUUCCGACAGAUUAAAUGUUGCAGAUGAGUCAAGGGAACCACGUCGUUAUGUUGCUGUGCAGAUUGUAGAAGCAAAGGUUCUGAACAUUGCUAACUUUUUUCAAUAGCUAGCUGAGAUUGAGUUCUACUGGUUGUUUCAAUUUUGGGUGAUUAUUCUGGCAUUCACAGGGUUUGCCUGUUGUUGAUGAUGGAAACAGCCACAAUUUCUUCUGUGCUUUGCGUCUGGUUGUAGAGAAUCAGGAAUUAAGUCAGCAAAAGCUUUUUCCCCAGAGUGCAAGAACAAAAUGUGUGAAGCCAUCAAUUGUUAAAUCGAAGGAUGUGGUUGAAGGCACUGCUAAAUGGAAUGAGCUCUUUAUUUUUGAAGUUCCUCGAAGGUGUUCACUGUAGCUUAUUAGAUAUAUAUUAUAUAUAUUAUAUAUAGAGAGAGAGAGAGAGAGAGAGAGAGACCAUGAUUUUUUUUUCUGACAUUAUUUGCAUUUCUCCAGGGGUUGGCUAAGUUGGAAAUGGAGGUGACGAACCUUGCAGCAAAGGCUGGAAAAAGGUGCCUGAUGUUUGCCAUGUUAGAUUAGACUUCGUAGUGAUGUUACUAAAUAUUGAUUUUACUUUAAGUUUCAUUUUUGAUUAAUUGAAAACUUGUUUAUAGUACCCAUUAAACGAAAUGAUUACCUGAACAUGUGACUUGCUUCUUGUUCUGGUGUUUAUGCCUUAGAUGAUCUAAAGAGUUGAAGUUGAUCAUAUAUGUUGGUUUUUAGCAGCCCAAGUUGCGCUGAAUAAACAAAUAUUUGGUGCUUCUGUAUUCUAAAUGGAGAAAGACAUGCUAUUAUCCCUAAUGUUUUAACUGGUAUAAUGCAGGUGAGGUUGUAGGUGCAUCUUCAUUUUCGGUUAGGACACGGUGCAAGUACUCUGAAGAAGGUUGCUUCAGUCAAAAUGUUGCAUCAAGCUUAUGAUUUUCAGAACACUGUAUCCUAUCCACUUAAGAAAAGGGUUAGUCUAAUUGAUGCUAUCAGUCUUUCUGUUUGAAUUUGGGAAAGCAUCGUUAGUGAACUUUAUGUAUUCUUAUGCUUGUUUUCUUCAGGGCCAAGACACUGAUGAUUACCAAGGAUCCGUUCUUGUUUCUGCUUCUUAUUAUGAAGGGAAAAUAGUUUCAAACUUCGAAAGUGAUCGGGCAGGAGGCAGCGAUAUUGCUAGAGAUAUAGGUUUCUCUGUGGGACUUGCUCCAGAAGGUUCCUGGGAGAGUUUUCGGUCUUCUCUUCCUCUCUCAGUAAUUACUAGAACUUUGAAGGAUGAUCUCAUGGCUGUAGAAGUACUCAUGAAAAAUGGAAAAAAACAUGCUGUUUUGAGGAGUCUUGCAACAGUUAUAAAUGAUUCGGAUAUAAAGUUGGACAUCUCAAUAUGCCAUUAUUCUAUGGGUCAAACUCGUGAUCCAAACCUUCAGAGAAGCAAUGCUAAUGUUUUUGUGGAAGAAGUGUUCCAAAAUCAAUGGUAUCAUCCAUCUGGUUGGGGAAAUCACAGGCCUAGUUUGGGAGACGAUGGCCCCAGGCGUUGGAGUAGUAGAGAUUUCUCAUAUUCAUCUGAUGUGAGUGUUUAUAACUUUGCAAGAUGAUACACUUUGCAUUAGAUCUCAUUUUCCGUCCAUUUGAUUUUUUGCCAUCUGAUUUACUUUUAGGAUUUCUUUGAACCUCGCAUUCCGCCUGGAUGGACAUGGGCAUCAACAUGGACUGUUGACAAGUCUUAUUGUGUUGAUGAUGAUGGCUGGGCAUAUGGGCCUGACCAUCACAAUUGCAGAUGGCCACCAAAUUCAGCUACAAAAUCCAAUCUUCAUAAAUUCCGCCGAAGGCGUUGGACCCGUACAAGGAAGCAAGUUAAUGAUCAGGUUGCUGCUAUUACUGAUGUUUUUAAUGCAACUAGUCCUGGUUCUGCUACUAUUUUACCUUGGAGAAGCAUGUCCAGAGAUUCUAAUUGCUGUUUGCAAGUUCGUCCAUGGAUUGAUGAUUCUCAAACUCUAUAUGCAUGGGGACAUUCAGUGGUUCAAGGUUCCGCCUCUGUCUGGGGAAAGGAUCAAUCAUUUGCUGAUCAAGGUGUACCUGCUCGACAGAAUACUAUGAAGGAGGCAAAAAUAUCUACUUCUCCAUUGAGGUUAGAUCAGCUUGAGAAGAAAGAUGUACUAUUCUGCUGUCCUGGCACUGGUGGUAAAAAUUUUUGGCUGAGUAUUGGUACUGAUGCAUCAGUUCUACAUACGGAGCUCAACACCCCCGUCUAUGAUUGGACAAUGUCAGUUAGUUCUCCUUUGAAAUUGGAAAAUAGACUUCCUUGUGGAGCUGAAUACAUUAUUUGGGAGAAAAUAAAAGAUGGUAACAACAUAGAGCGACAGCGCGGCUUUAUAGAAUCCCGUGGAACUGUGCAUAUGUAUCAUGCUGACAUACGAAAUCCAAUAUACCUUAAGUUGUUUCUUCAAGGGGGUUGGAUUGCAGAAAAGGUGUGAAUUGCGAUUUUCAAUGUGUCGUUACAUGCACAUUCCUCAUGGUCCACAUAAUAAUCAAUCUACAAGGUUUUAUUAUCUUGUGAAUAAUUUUUGUUAAUUCACUUUCACAUCUUCAUUUUGUAUUGCAGGAUGUUCUCAUUUUGGAUCUUGCUAGUAAUAGUCAUGCUGCUUCUUUUUGGAUGGUUCAAAGACAGAGAAAAAGGUUUGUUCUUCCAAAACUUUUCUUUGGGUAAAGGUGUGUGUAAUUGCCGUGAAGUAUUUUUAUUUGUUAGUGGGAAUGAUGUAUUGGAAAUAGCCAUGCGAUGUAAUCUUAAUGCCUUUUGAUGUUUGGAAAUUCGGUUUUGUCUGACGAUGUUUUUAGAGUAGUCAAUACACCAGAUUCUAUGAUUGAUAGUUUUGUCAAUUAUGCAAUGUUCAGUAUUCUUCUAAUUUUAUUGUAUUUACUGAACCCGUAAGUAAUUCCAAACCUGUGGUAGUUAAUACUAAGCUCCAGGAAGGGUUCAAGAAAAAGGAAUACAAGAUGAUUCGAUCCAAUAAUGUGUUUGCAAAAGAACAGGUCAAGCACAUAAAAUUUCAGUUUUCCUGCUGAUUUUCUUACUGUAGAAGAACACUUGGAAGUGUAGGUGAAUCCUGUGAUUUUACUAUCUUACUGUUUCUUUUACGGAUUGUGAGCACGAUUAAUCUAUGCAACUUACUACACCAUGUAUCGAACAUUUUCAGCAUGUGACUAAACAUAGAUACCAGGAAUUUAAGCCAGUUGCUUAUGUGAUUUUGUUUCUUAAUUUCCUUCCCCAGUUAACAUCUGGCUUUUCUUUACAUUGGACUAUUGACUACAUAAAUAGGAAAAGACAUAUUAGAUAAUUAUUUUAUGUGUAGUAUUGCUCCUGAGCAAACUUUAUUUAAGGAAAAUGAAUGAUAUGUUUUGACAGAUUCCAAUAACAAGAUCCAGUGGCCAAUGUUAUGUUGGAUGUAACAAAAAACAUUGGCUGAUUUGGUUGGAGAUCAAUUUGUUACAAAGAGCUAAUUUCUUUGCUCUGUGGAUGCUACUUUGUGUAUAAGUUCCUCUUCUGAAAAGUCCUAAUUUUUUUCUCUGGGGAUGCUGCUCUGCAUAUGGAUUUCUUGUUUUUUAUCCUAAGGAUUUUUUUAUAAGAUUGGAUGACCUCUUUUGACUUUGGAAGUAGGUGAUUCUAAAUUUGAUAACUUACAUACGAUAAUAAAACUUAUGCAGCAUCUACUAGUGGCUUGAUGUUCGCAAAUUGGUAGCCUGUAAGAUAUCUGCUGGCAGUCUUCUUCUUCAUUGUAGUUCAGAACUGCGGGGUCCAUCAAAGUUUAAUAUGACAGCUGACGUUAAGGAAGAUCUAGCUUUACUCCUAAGCAAAGAUAGAAAAGGAGCUUCUUGAGUACAAGGAUCACUAAGUGGUCUUCCAACGAUUUUAAUGCAUAGCCUUUUUGUUGCUUAAAUUAGGUUUGUGAUGAUUUUAAUUUGAAACCUUGUUCUUCAUUCUCUGAUAAAUAUUUGUUCAGUAAUACUCAAAACAAUCACCUCAUGAGUAAAACAGGCUUGCCCAAUCUUGACAAAAACAGAUUCUGAAUGUCAGUUUCAGUUCCUGCCUUUUCAGGUCCUUGCAAAUUGUUGGACCUUUUACAUGGUAAUUUGAUUGAGACCUGAUCUAUUGCAGCUUUAUUGUGCCUGAUUAUGUGCAGGAGGUUGCGAGUAAGCAUUGAGCGUGACAUUGGGGGGUCAAAUGCUUCCCCAAAGACCAUAAGGCUUUUUGUCCCAUAUUGGAUUAGCAAUGAUACCUCAUUAUCAUUAGCAUAUCAAGUAGUGGAAAUUGAACCACUGGAGAGCGCAGAUGUGGAUUCUCUUGCACUGUCAAAAGCUAAAUCUGCAAAAAUAGCCAUGAAAGCAACUCCUGGUUCAUUGCUUGGGAGACAGAUUAGUUCACGGAAGAAUGUUCAAGUGCUUGAAAUAAUUGAAGACACUAGUCCGGUACCCAGCAUGCUCUCUCCUCAAGACUAUAUUGGCCGUGGUGGUGUAAUGCUGUUUUCGUCACGGAAUGAUAACUAUCUGUCCCCACGUGUGGGGAUCUCUGUUGCUCUUCGUUCAUCUGAAUAUUUUAGUGCAGGGAUAUCUCUUCUUGAUUUGGAGAAAAAGGUAACAUGGAUAAAUGUUGUCAAAGUCUCUUAGAUGGCUUUAAAGCUCGUCUUUUUUCUUUAUGACAAGCGGCACUUAUACAGUUUUAUUUCUCUUACAGCAACGAGUUGAUUUAAAGGCAUUUGGUUCUGAAGGAUAUUAUUAUAAGCUUUCAGCUUUGCUGAACAUGACGUCAGACAGAACAAAGGUAUACUUUUGCAUGUGCAUCAUUUUUUGGCUUCUAACUCUGCAACCUGGUGGCAAACUGUACUUAAGUGCUCGAUUUACCUUCAUGUUUUUAUUGCUAAAUUUGCUUAUAGAUCAAGGUAUGACUAGUUUCAUCUGUUUAUGUCGUUACCGUAGAACCUUACUGAUUUGCCAGUGGUAAUUCAAGGCCUUUUAGUGAAUUUGUAUCUUGAAAUUGUAUGAUAUAGCCUUAUUAAUUAUAACUUCAUUCCUUUUUGGGUAGUAAUCAUGAUAUUUUGAUCAAAUGAGACCAUUUUACAAGCUGUUGGUGAGUUUGUUCUUUGGCUAUCUUAGAUGUAUGUGAUAAGAAUGUAAAAAAAGACAACAGCUGUACUCUACAUCUCCUAGCUUGGUACUUAUUUUUUUCAGUAAAGAGUGCUGGUUUCAUAUGCAGUGUCUUCUGGCUUAAUUGUGACUGAAUAGUAUGAGCUGUUUGAUUAUGCAGGUCGUGCAUUUUCAACCACAUACAUUGUUCAUUAACAGAGUUGGGUGCAGUGUUUGCCUGCAGCAAUGUGAUACUCAGUCUACAGAAUGGAUCCAUCCUAGUGAUACUCCUAAAUGUUUUGGUUGGCACUCCACAAAAGUGGAAUUGUUAAAGGUAGGUUGUUGCAAAAGUUUUCUUGCCACUUAGUCAAACCUAUAUUAAACGGAAAAAAUCAGCAAGCCCUUGAUAGAUAUAUAAUGUCUGCUUUAUGUUGAACACUAUUCUGUCUUCCCCACGGCAAAUCAUGUUUUCUUUGUCUUUGCCAAAACCAGUUGCGCUGGAUGGAUAUGAAUGGAUGCACCAUUUAGUGUUAAUAGUGAGGGGAUGAUGUCUAUUCACUUGAGAAGUGAAACUGGAACAGACCAAAUGCCUCUCAGGGUUGAGGUUAGAAGUGGAAUGAAGGGCUCUCGCUACGAAGCUAUAUUCCGUCCAAAUUUCUUUUCGAGUCCUUACAGGUUCUGUCAUCUUGUUUUCUUUGCAUCACUGUUUGCUUCUUAAGAGUUUCUUCAAACAGUACCAAGUAAAAAUCUGAUAUGUUUGUAACUUUGUUUAUUGGAAUGAAGAUUACCUCUGCUGACAACUUUUAUAGGACAUAGAGUCCUACAACUGCAUAAUUUGCCUAAUUUGCCUAAGUUUGCUAAUGAGUAUAUGUUCGAAGUGGUUUUGAUGUUUAAAUUCUGAUCCUGCUAAAAUAGCUUUGACCACUCUUUUUUUUGGGUAAAUGGUCGGGAGAAAUGCGAAACACAGCUCAUUCAUUGAAAAUGGAGACUUGUAUUGGGAGGAAAGUCCAGAAUAGUUCUCGGAGAUGGGAAGUCUACUAUUCAUAAAAUAACAUGAUGAAAACUUUAUAACUUGAAGUUUUUUGUUUUCUCUGCUGAAAUGAGUAGUAAAAUAGGCCUCAUUUUUUCCUUUUGGAUGAAAAAAUGAGUUCUAAAAGCUUCCUUUUGCAGCUGUUUUAAUUCAUAUAUCUUUAUUUUCUCAAUCAUCAAUUAUGUGAUGUGAAUUACGAUUUUCCAACCCUUCUCUAUGAUUUGUUAUCUGCAGUGAAUAGUAGAAGCUCAAUAAUUGCUAAUUUUCAUUUUGCAGGAUUGAGAAUCGGUCUUUGUUUUGCCAAUACGUUUUCGCGCAAGUAGGUGGUUCCAGUGAUUCAUGGAAGUUUCUUCUGCCCAAUUCAUCACUUGCCUUUUCAUGGGAAGAUCUUGAUAGGGAAAGAAUGUUGGAAAUCUUAGUAGAUGGAAGUGACUCUGGCACAUCGCACAGAAGUACAAUAUCGAUGAGAUAUUUGAUCAUGAGCCUAUACCUGUUGAUGGAGGAAAUAUAUUCACUUUACGCGUUACUAUUUUGAAAGAAGAGAAAACAAAUGUUGUUAAAAUCAGCGACUGGAUGCCUGAAAAUGAAUCUUCUGCAACUUUCAAUAGCAUUUCCCUUCUAUGUUACACAUCUCUGGAAAUUAUUUGCAGCCUAGCAAUCGAUGUCCACCCAGAAUGUGAAUUUCAUUUCAUUGUUGAGGUUUCAGAGCUUGGUUUGUCUAUAAUUGAUCAUACACCUGAAGAGAUAUUAUAUAUGUCGGUCGCAGAAUCUUUGCUGUCUCAUUCAACUGGACUUGGCCUCUGAAUCAGUAGGUAAUGUGUUCUGGUGACUGCUAACAAGGUUAAUGGUAUUUCUCGCUGUUUGGGCAUUCAUAGCUUCUACUAGAUGCUUUCACGUAGUAACUAAGCACUGUUAUCUUCACAAACCAUUAAUGUUAAAUUAGUUUACUGCAGGCUCAAAAUUAGAAUGCAUGGGAUCCAGGUGGAUAAUCAGUUGCCUUUGACUCCAAUGCCAGUUCUCUUCAGGUCACAGCGAAUAGGAGAGGAGAAUGAUUAUCUCUUAAAAUUUUCCCUCACCCAGCAAUCAAAUGGAUCGUUGGAUUUACAUGUAUAUCCAUAUAUAGGUUUCCAGGUGAGUGAUCUGAUACAGCUUCCUUAUUUUAUGUCUUUCUAGUGAUUACCAAGAUAUUUACUGAUGGUUGAGUACGUACUAACAUCCUCUCAGGGACCUGAAAAUUCUGCUUUUUUGAUCAACAUCCCUGAACCGAUCAUAUGGCGCAUUCAUGGAAUGAUCCAGCAGGCCAAUCUUAGUCAGUUAUCUGAUGCCAGAGCACUUCUGUUUCAGUUGAUCCUAUCAUCCAGAUUGGGUAUUAAAACAUUACUUUUUGAUCUUUGGAUCUUUAUGUGUACAGAAAAUCUCCAACAUUGCUUCUGUGAACUUUCUUGUAAUUGGAAAUUUUCAAAUUGACAGUGUUCUAAACUUCUCGGAGAUCGAUUCAAGGUUACUAUGGCUAUGUCCCCCAGUCAGCGCCCAGUUGGUGUCCUUGGUUUUUGGUCAAGCUUGAUGACUGCACUUGGAAACAUGGAAAAUAUGCCAGUUAAGUUUCUGCUCCUGCUUGAUCUUGUAAUUUAAUUGGAUGGUAUAUCUUGUAAGCUUGUCAGUUCUUCCAAAUUUUAGUGACUGGUUCCUUAUUUGUUGGUUUCUAACAUGAAACCUUCAGCUAAUUAAUCAGUCUUCUUGUGUUUCUGGUGGUAGAUUCUUGAAGUUAUUGAGUUGUAUGCGAUCUUGAAAGAGAUUUAAAGAAGUAAGAACAAGAGGAAGAUGAAGGAGGGAAGCUAGUACACUCUUGUUCUUACUAUAAAUCUCUUUCAAGAUCACAAGAAAUUGAUUUGGAAUGCUCUCGACUGCUUAAGCAGUCUUCCAUACUAUAUGACUUCACUGGUUGUAUAUGGAACACUCAGUUGAUAUAAUUUCUUUCUUGUCAUGCAAAGUGCUUGGGUACUGUUGGCAGCUGACUGAGAUCAAUAAUUUGACUUUUUAAUCAGGUCCGGAUUAAUGAGGCGUUCUUGGAAAAUGUAUGCAUGCGGCAUAGUGUUCUUGUUGCUAAUGCCAUCUCAAACAUUAAAAAGGAUCUUCUCAGCCAGCCUUUUCAGCUACUCUCGGGUGUUGAUAUACUUGGCAAUGCUAGUAGUGCACUUGGACAUAUGAGCAAAGGUGUUGCAGCCUUGUCGAUGGAUAAAAAAUUUAUACAAAGUCGACAAAGACAGGUUCAUCAGGAAUACUCUCUUUCAUUGUUAUGCAACAUGGUGUAAUAUUGAAGAUCUUAUUGAGAACAACUUGCAUCUAAGACUCUGAAUCCUUAGCAACCAACAUCCUCUGUUACCUUUUUAGAUUGUGGAUUUUGUCAAUGAAAGUAGUCGUUCACAUUAUGAAAAAAGAGCAACAAAUACGUCAAGUACAUAUUUAUCCUAUUAAACAGAGGGCAGUUCUCUUGGACCCAUGAAGAUGGUAAUACAUAUGAAGGCUUCAAUAUUAACUGAAGAAUUUAGGUAGUUUUUAAUGUGCAUAGUAGAGGUUGGGGUGCAUCUACUUUUGCAGUGAUCUAAAGCCCAUUUCUGUUACAUUGCAUUCCAUGAGAUGUGAUAUUUUGAUAGUAAUUAUCCAUUACCGAUGCUAUUCUAUUUGAAUCUGAAGUAAUUUUGUUGUAAUUUUAAUGUAAAUCAUAUUUUGGGUUUACAUGCAUUCUUAGUGUGAAAAUUCCCUAUGCAAGCUGGAAGUGUGACUUUGUACAUCCAAAAACCUGUUUACAUUCUUUCACAAAAUGCACAUGUUUUUACAGGAUGCUAAGGGGGUAGAGGAUUUCGGUGAUGUUAUCCGGGAUGGAGGUGGUGCGCUAGCUAAAGGCCUUUUCCGUGGAGUCACUGGCAUUUUAACAAAGCCUCUUGAAGGCGCAAAAGCUUCAGGUGUUGAGGGCUUUGUUCAGGGUGUUGGGAAAGGAUUAAUAGGUGCUGCUGCACAACCUGUUAGUGGGGUUUUAGAUCUUUUAUCAAAAACUACCGAAGGUGCCAAUGCUGUGAGGAUGAAGAUAGCAUCUGCAAUUGCAUCAGAAGAUCAACUCCUAAGGAGGCGGCUACCUCGGGCAAUUAAUGGUGAUAAUUUGCUUCGACCAUAUGAUGAAUACAAAGCGCAGGACAGGUAUUUUGCUUUUUGCCUUGCUCAUAUCAUCCUCCACAACCCUCCUUUGUACUAUGAAGCAAACAACAUUCCAUGCCCCAAAUCUGGCAAGGAGUUGUAGUUAGGAAGCAGAGGUAUGGAAAAGAUUGUGCAGAUGAGGGUGAUUACAAAGUGUUGGAUUCUUGAUGGCUUUUCACUGGUAUGGGAAGGAAGUUUUCUGUUAUAAUGCUGAGUGCAUGGGGUGGUUUGGCAAGGAUAUGGUCUGUCUCAGUGUGCUUUCUGAUUGAGGUUUCAGUGGGUCUUUUGCAGGUGUGGUGGAUGGGAGGGGAUGCAAAGGCAUGGGAAAUAUUGCAUUUGGGGGGCCUGGGUAUUGGAAUGAUGUUAGAGUAGGUUGGGAGGCAAGUAAAGGAAGCUGGUUAAUGUCUCUGGGAGUGGGGAGAGGACAGGAAAGGGAGGGGGAAUUUCAGAUUUAGGUGUGCAAAGGUGGUGGAGGGGUAAGAACACGAGGAUAUAGAACAAUAUGUGAAAUAUCUAGAAAGUGCAGUAAAGAUAGAUUAAUAGAGAAAAACAAAAGUUCUGUCCUUAUACACUGUAAUGUGUAUUGUGCUUGACUAGCUUAUCAAAAGAGCUCAUUCAUGUUUUCCCUGCAUAGCAUUCAAUUUUGGGCCAUAAGAUAUCAGUUUUCUAUAGAAUGCUGUCAUGCUAAUUCGAAUUUGAAGUGCCCUGGGAAUCUGAGUAUGCUUUCUGUCAAAACAUUAGGCAAUGUUGCAGUUAGCAGAAUCUGGAUCAUUUUUCAGCCAAGUUGAUCUGUUCAAAGUACGUGCAAAAUUUGCCUUAACGGAUGCCUAUGAAGACCAUUUCUUACUUCCAAAGGGACGAAUUGUUGUUAUUACUCAUCGAAGGGUGAUUUUGAUGCAAGUAAGUUUAACUUUAAUCAAACUACCUGGUAGAUAUCAAAAGAAAUCUUAAUCCUGACUAAAUUUCUAAUCCUAUCUAGCAUUUGAUGGCUCCAUACUCACGUCAUCUUGCUUAAUUUAUUAGCAACCAUUCAACAUUAUUGCUCAAAAGAAGUUCAACCCAGCAAGGGAUCCUUGUUCGGUUUUGGGAUGUAGCUUGGAAUGACCUUGUGACAAUGGAAUUGACUCAUGGGAAAAAAGAUCAUGCAAGUGCUCCACCUUCGCGGCUUGUUGUGUAUUUACAGAGUAGAUCAUUGGAGGCAAAGGAUCAAGUUCGUGUUAUAAAAUGUAAUCAUGACACCAAUCAGGCAAUGGAGGUUUAUACUUCAAUUGAGCAAGCAAGGUCUACAUAUGGACCAAGUCAAUUUCAGGUGCAGAUUGUGUUUUGAUUGAGUUUGUAGAUAAAUUUCCUUGAUCAUAUUGUGGUCGUUCUCUUUGUUUCAUCUUUAAUUUUUCUCCCAUCUUCCAGGCAUUGCGUGAAAGGAAAGUGACAAAACCAUAUUCUCCAACUGCUGAUAUGGCCUCUGAAGUAAUUUCAAAAGAUGGAGUUUGCGUCUCCUCUCCCCAACAGUUGCCUGCAUCAGUACCAUUAACUUCUACAUUUGGAACUAGCGAACAUUGAAUGAUAAAAAGAAAAUAGUUAAUGUGAUUAGAUGGUGCAAGUUGUUACUGGUCAUCCAUGCAAUCUAGAAGACUGCUCAGUUAUUGCUUUUUUUGCAAGAAGUUGCAUCACUAUGAAGGUAAUUUACAUUUUAUUCUUUUGUUUUCUAAAGCUGAAAUCCACCCAAUUCCACACUAUCCUUGGGUAUCAGCUAAUCUGUUUUUUUUGUAUUUUUUUGGGGGUGGCCAUGUUGCCAAAUUGUCCUUGAAGGAUGUUAAGAAUCUUGCCUCAGUAUCCAGACUUCUAAAUUUGGAAUCUUUUAAAAUUCUUGGCAUGAAGUUUAAAAACUUGGUUUUAGGUUUCCUUUUUUUUAGCAUUGAUAUUAAUAACCUGAACAUCAAGCGACGAUCCUGCUUCCUGGCAUAUGUGCGUGAUACGGGUAGAAUCUAAUGUCUUCCUGGUAAAGUCUUUUAACGCUUCAAACAUCAAUUUGUCUUGGUUCUGUCCAAAGUAUUUCAGUUUUAUGUCACCAAAAAUGGCCUAAAACAAUGUCACUAGAGAUGAAGCUCGGAAGCUUAAAUUUGAUAGUGCAUCUUAUAUUACUGUAAAUCUGGAUCUCAUCAAACGCAUAAGUUCCAAUCAACACGAGUUUAGGGUAUGACACCAUUGUUUUUGGGUUGCAGGUGCGUAAGUUCUGGCUUGAGGGCAGAAAAGGUCAAAGAGCCGUAUUGUUGAAAGGACUCCCAAUGAUGGGCUUCCAGAUUCUGGUAUUUGUAGGGUGCAUUUUAUGUGUUUUAUGGGUAUAAAUAUUGUACAUAACAUAGAUGGCAAUACAUGAAGAUAAUUUAGGUUUAAACUACCGGACAUGUUCUACCUCCCAUUAUAUAUUCUGGGCAUUGGAUGGCUUUAGCCGCCCAUUUUGCAUGCCAUGUAAUCUUAAUGUCUAUAUUUAGGCUUUUAGGUCCAUAUAGCAAGGCUUCGCUCCUCAGCAGACAUAUUGUGUAUGCCUCUUGUUUCAUCGGUAACUCAUGUGGAAACUUUUCCCAGAUAAUCUGGAAGUCUUCUUUGUCCAGGAUCCUGUACUUGUUUUCCGGCCAGUUAUUGAUGCUCUUUAUUCUGUCAUCUACUGCAAGAUGGAGCAGAUUGUAUUUGCAAUUUGAACUAUAAUAUGUAAGACUGGUAGUGUGACUGAGAUGGUAUAUCGGCUGCUACGUUAUGCAAAGCUGGAGUCCAAUCAUUAUUGGAUGUCUGCAAGGAAAUCGUUCGUUUUCUUUCUGAGUAGUUAUGAUGUCAAAAGCGUGAUAGCUGGGACAUAUCUGACAAUGUCAGGCUGACAUGUGUAGUACAGUUAUUGUUAUCAUUUGGGGGUUAAUGGUAAUCAAGCAUUCAAAAUGAGGCCUGGCUAUUUCUCGGGCAGAACAAUUCAUGUUGCCUUUUUUGUUUGGUGGUGGUGGGAUGGAUCAGAUGGUUCAUUGUUGGUAAACAUCAACUUUAUGAAGCUCAAAAAUUACGGGUAAAAUGAAAGUCAAUUCAGGGUUGGCUGCAGAUGUACAGUGACGGUGAAGUAAGCGUCCCUCUCGGCUGAGGAGCAACUGCAAAACGCUAUUCUUGCAAGUUGCAAUCAGUCACAAAUAAUUCCCACUACAACUUAAUAUCCAAAUCAUGUUGAGUGAUUUAUGCUGGACGAUUUCUAGCAAAUUUAGUAAUAAAAUCUUCUUUGUUAUAAAAAAAAAUUCAUGUUUUAAUAAUGAGUUCAAAAAAAUUGAGUUAUAUUUGAGUUGCCAAUAAUGAUGCUUCUUGCGGAGACAAAAGAAUUGCUGAGUUGCUGUACCAAGCAGUCUCCUGUUAUUUCCACCAUUUUUAAGUGAGCAAUUAUUGUGUCUAUAUUUCUCACGGCCGUAUAUGGAGAAAAGGGAGGAGCUGAUUACAUUGAUAAUUGUGUGUUUUAUUUCUUACUAGUUGUGUAUUAGAACAUGCUCAAAGGUAAGGGCAUAAACAAGUCUAAUCAAGUGAAAUAUGCUAGUGUUUAAUCUUGUUUGAUUAUUUCAACAGGAUUGAAAUUUUGUUCAAAUUUGAUUUAUUUUUUUGUCAAACUGACUUUGAGCGAAUUUUUUUAAUAAAUAUUGUUGAAUAUGAAACGCUAUUCAAAAUAUAGUUUGACAAGUUGGACGAAUCAAAUUCAAAUGAUUACUAAACCAAGCUCGAUUCGACUUAGGUGCCGUUUGGUAAAAAGAAAUCGGAAUUAGGAAUUGAAAUAAUUUCAAUUCUUGUUGUUUGGAUUACAUGUAUUGGAUUCAAAAUCUUGGAGUGAAUCAUUAAAAUUUAAGAGUUCUCAAUCCCCAACAAAUUGGAGGGGUUUUGGUAUAUUCUCAAAUUUGACUCAAUUUGCCUUGAAGACUUCAAAAAAGAAAAGAAAACGUAUCAUCUUUAUUCCAACCUCCAUGAUAGCACCUUACCAUUAGAUUUUCUCUUUCAUCUUUUCGCUCUCAUCUCAUCUUUUACAGCAAGCUUUCAUCAUUAUCCUUUUCUCUUUUUUUCUCUAGUCAUUCACUCUUCCAAUCUUUCAUGGAAACAGUCUCAUCUCAUUUGGUUAUCUCUCCUUUUUUUAUUAAUCUCUAUCAUUUUCUUUUUUCUUCUCUCUUCCUCUCUCUUCUAAUACUUUAUGGUAGUUGCUUCUCUCCAUUUGUUCUCUCUCUUCUCUCUUUUUUUUUGCUUUUUGUGUAAGCCUUUCUCUUUCCUCCAAUCUUUCAUGGCAGCAGCCUCAUCUUAUCUGGUUGUCUCUCCCUUUUUAUUAAUCUCUCUCAUUUUUCCUUUUCUUCUCUUUUCACUCUCUUCAUUUCUCCUCUAAUACUCUAUGGCAGUCGUUUCUCUUCAUUUGGUUAUCUCUCUUCUCUCAUUUUUUUUCCUUUUUGUGCAAGCCUUUCUCUCAUUUUUUGUCAUUCGCUUUCUCAUGUUCCACAGAUUGCAAGGUUGAUUGGUGAUGAUUAAGGGUUCGUUUGGGAGUGGAUGAUUUGGAUAGAAAAUAAAGGGAAAGAAGAGAAAGUUAACUUUUGCUUCACUUGUUAGUUUUUAAUAGGAAAGAAAAGAAAGGAAAUAGAAGGAUGAAUAGUUAUCAAAAUGCUUCCUCCCAAAUCGGAAGGAAAUGGGAAGAAAGCUUGGAGAAAACUUGAUAAUUUUUUAAAAAUGCCUAUUUUAUCCUUAAAAAUGUUUUGAACAAAUAUUUAAUGACCUUCAUAUUCAAAAUCGUUUCACUAAUUCUCAAAACUCCCAAACAACGUAACAAUCUCUUUUCUUUUCUUCUCUUCUCUUCUCUCGUAACUUAAGUUUUCCCUUUUUUUUUUUUUUUCUAUCCUAAACUCCCAAACUAAGCCUAAGUGCUAAUUCAAGAGAAUAUGAAUGAAACACGAGUAUUCAAAGUAAGGAUUGGGAAGAAAAAAAAAUAAAGAAAAAAAAAUAAAAAAAAAUUUGAUUUCAAAACCUUAUAAAUAUAUAACUUGAUCAAAGUUCAUACUAAAUUUUCAAACGUGAUUAUAAUUACAAUUCCGAUUUGUAGACUUGAACCAAACGCGCCCGUAGUUUGUGUCCUUGCGACCACAAAAUUGGAAGUUCCAACUCAGAAGACCAGAAAUUGGAUCUUCCUAACCAAACCUGAAGGAGAAAAGUAGCAGUCAUUCCUACCAACAUAACAAGUCAUUUGGAAUGGGGAAGACUGCUAACAGUUUGUUCAGGCCCAGCAGGCGGCGCGAUCAGAAUUUGGGUUUUGGUACUCGGAAGAGCCCGUCCUUCCUUCGGGAGACCCAAGAGUUUGUUCUUCAACAUGCUCACUUGAGUGGUGGACGACCGGGAGACCAAAAUAUCCUACGCUCUCCAAGAUGGCUGCUAAUUGCUCCAAAAUGUAAAACUUAAUCGUGGUAGUGUUGUAAAACUUAAUCGUUGUAGUGUUGUUACUUUCUUGGAAGGAAGUUAGGAAGAACAUGUUUUCCACUUCUUUCUUUUUCUUUUUUUUUUGUUUUGGCCCCCUUGAACUACUGUAAGGUAGUCAUAGUAUGGUAAUAAAGAAAAUGAUCUGAGCAGCUGAGCCGAACCCAACCCAUACCACCUGUUGAGUCUUAUAAUUGAUUUCCCUCCUCUACAUGUAAUGAUGGUAGUAUUUUGAUAAAUCAUACCACAGUUUGGUCAUCUCUGCAGAGUUCAGAGAGGAUCAUGGCUAACGAGGGAAGUAUAAAGUUCUGUUAAGAGUAUCUUCUUAUUGCAGGAAUCUAUUGAGAGGAUAGGAAUUACAAAAACCAGAGCAUUAUCCAACUGCCGACAUCCAACACUAGAGAUUAAAUAGCGGUACACUAACUCACUCACACCUUGUCAACUUGUUGCCUACUUCUCCCAGAUUUUUUUUUUUUUUUUGGUUCGGAGCAAUACUUCUCCCAGAUACUGUAAUUCUGUUACAAUAAAUCUAGAAAAUUUCAAUCUGACUGCAAAAAAAGAACGACUGCUGAAACCAAGGCUCACAAGUGUUGGUUGCAUCUCUUUCGACGACAAAAAGUAGAACCAGAGGAGACCGAGGGUCCAAAUCAAGCAACCCUCUCUGAAUUCUUGCUGCUGAUACUGUUUCUACUAAUAAAUCUACUUCAUUUACAAAUGGAGCUUCCACUUGAGCUCUUUCAUCUCAUCAAGAAGCGCUCAAAAAGGUAGGAGUACUAUACCAUUAUUAUUUGGUUCUUUACAUUUUCAAGCACACACUUUUUUGGCUUUUUCGCAUAUCUGAACUCUUUCAGAACCCCUGACCAAGAAAAGUUGCUUUCAAGAACUCUGAUUCAAAUUUUUAGCUCUCUCCCUCUAUCCAUCAAAAGCAUUUUCAGCCACCUUUUUGCAGAUUCAUUUCCUUUGCUUCUUUUCUCUCCUUUUUUUGUUUCCUUUUCUGGAUCGGCGGGUUUUAGAAUUUAGUAUGUCCUGCUUACAAGUUGGGGGAGAUGAUUGUGCAAAGUCCGUAGAUUCUAGAUCUAAGGUCAUGUCCGUAAUCCAAGAAUAUUGCUUUAAAAUGAAAAAGUGGACUGAUGGUGUUUUGAACUUACUUAUCUAAUUGAUUGCACCAUUGAUUUGCUUUCCUUCUCUCUUUGGUUGGUUAGUUUCAGUACAUUAUCCUUGAACUUGAAGAUGGUAACUGGCCAAAUCUAAAGAUUGAAGAAUAAGGUCUUGUUCACAUUUGGAAUUCUAACUACAAACUGCCUCGGACCUGCAACUGUUGCGUACUCCGAUAAAUAUUGGUCCAAGAAUCUUCUCUAUAGUUGUGCGUGCUAAGUUUGGGAAUGAAAAAGUGGACUGGAGGUGUUUUAAUCGUAGGGCUUGCAUUGAUUUUAGUUAUUAGUUACAGUUUCGUUGGGAAGUCCGCCCAACAAAAACAAUCAGCAUAUGAUUUUUUCAAUAAUCAUCCUGCUGACAAUGCCAACCCGGAAGGCAGGAAGGGCCAUGAUAAUGUGAAAUCGGCUGAGACUGACGUCAAAAAGGCACUUAAUUUUAAAGGAAAGCCUCGAUUUGUCCAUGUUGAAGGGCUCAGUUCUUUGUAUAGUAGCUUGGGGAACUUUUCCAAAGAGGAGUCAAAAGCGUUGCAGGUAUGGAGCCGAAUGCGCUUUUUAUUACCCAGGUCAGAUGCAUUGCCUAACACUGCAGGGCAUCAAAGAGGCCGCUGCAGUUUGGAAAGAGUUGUUGUCAACCGUUCAGGAAGAUAAGGCCUCCAAGGCAAACAAAGUUGGAGAGAUGUAGAUUGUCCAUACUAUGUCAGUGCGUUUAAUGGCACAAAAUCAAGGAGUCAGAAUGCAACUCUUGAAAUCCUUGUGGUCUUGUUGAAGAUUCAUCUGUUACUGUGAUUGGAAUGCCUGAUGCAUUACAAGACGGUUUUCAAAUUGAGCUUAUUGGCUCAAAACUGUCAGAUGAGCCCAGGCUCCUUUGGUGUUGCAGUACAAGGUGUUUUUACCUGGAAAGAACCUGACAAAGGAGCCCUUUGUCAUCCAAAAUGCAUGGGCUAAUGAAUCUGGGUGGGGAAGGAGGAAAGGUGUCCUGAUCGUGGCUCGACUGACUUUCUAAAAGGUUAAAUCCUUGCAAAUUUUAAUCAGAAGAUUUCAUUUGACUCACUGUCCAAGUCUUUUGCGUGUAUACUUAAACCCUACCCUCUGGCUUAGUUUUAUCGGCCAUCGUAAUUCAAUCUUGCGCAUGUAAUCUAUAGCCUCGGAGAUUUUCAAUGUGGAAUGCAUGAUUAGCUAGUAUGAUUCUUGUUUCCUUGGUCACUCAACUGACUUGUGCAUUGGUCAUGAUGUAUGAAGCAAUUUAGAUGGAUGAGUUGAGACAAUAUAUAACUGCCUAUUUCAUGUUUCAGUUGAUGGGCUAGUAAAGUGCAAUGCGCAGAGUGUCAGGACGGCUAUGCCAGAGAAUUCAAAUGGGAGUAAUCGUAGCAGUGACAAGUUAACCAAUUUUCUGAUGGGGGUACCCAUGGAAGUGCCACUUUUCCUUUCCCUUAUUUUGAAGGCAUUCCAUUUACUGCCUCAUUGUGGGUUGGGUUGGAGGGAUUCCACAUGACAGUCAAUGGAAGGCACGAGACAUCUUUCGCGUAUAGAGAGGUAUAGUAAUAUCAACGUGGAGCUCAAAAUGCGUAUAAUAGGAGAGGAUGGAUGCUCAUUGAUCUUGCAGGAAUGAUAGCAAUAAUAUCUGUUGUAUGAUUUUGAUGCAGAAGCUUGAACCAUGGUUGGUGGGUGGAGUUGAGGUGAAAGGUGGCUUGGCCACCAUAGCUAUCUUAGCAAAAGGAUUGCCUGUUUCAAAUGACCUGAAUUUAGACGUUGAUCUCGAGCUUCUCAAAGCUCCCUCAGUUUCCAAGAAAGAGCUUGUAUUGAUGAUUGGUGUUUUCUCAACUGCAAAUAACUUUGAGAGGCGUAUGGCACUGAGAAGAUCUUGGAUGCAAUACGAUGCUGUACGCUCCGCCGAGGUGGCUGUCCGCUUCUUCAUCGGUCUUGUAAGUGAGGCAUCACACACUGGGCAGCUAUUCUUCGAAAUUACCCAUUGGAAGGAAGGUUCACCAAAACUUAAGCCCUACCUACUUGAGGCUCUAACCUGAUUGCUGCCAACAGUCCUUUUGAUGCUUGAAAUAUUCGGGCUUUGCUUCUGGUUACAAUAAUAUAAGAGACACAUGCUGCUGAAUUUCCACUUUCUGUUUAUUUACAGCACAAGAAACAAGCAGUCAACUAUGAGCUGUGGAGAGAAGCUCAAGCAUACGGAGACAUCCAGUUGAUGCCUUUUGUUGACUAUUAUAGCUUGCUCAGUUUGAAAACCAUCGCAAUCUGCAUUCUGGGGGUAGGCAAACAAAGCUCUCCACUCCACAUAAAAAGGAAAUAUAUAUAUAUAUAUAUAUUACAGUAUGAUAUAUAUUCUCUCUGUAUAUAUAUACAUGCACAUUAUUUAUAUGUCGUCUGGAGUUUAUAUAUCUAUCAACGCAUUACAUGAUGGGCGGCACGCAUUCUCGAUCAUUGUGACAGACUGAAAUCCUGACUGCUAAAUAUAUAAUGAAGACGGACGAUGAUGCCUUCGUUAGAAUUGAUGAAGUUGUAUCUAGCUUGAAGGGAAAGGCUUCUUCUUCAGACGGCCUUCUGUAUGGUCAUAUAUCGUUCGAAUCAUCACCCCACAGGGACAAAGAGAAUAAAUGGUACGUCAGUCCAGAGGUAGGUACUACUGCUGCUGCUGCUGCUGCUGCUCAUUUUUUUUUUUUUUUAAAUUUUUGUCAUAUUAAAUCAAAUCAAAUGUGGAGGUCUCUUGUCCUCUGUAUAUAGGAAUGGCCGUAUGCAUCAUAUCCGCCGUGGGCACAUGGUCCGGGUUACGUAAUUUCCAGAGACAUAGCGAAGUUCAUCGUUGGAGGCCAUCGGGAAAGGGACAUUAUGGUGAGAAUCAUCAUCGUCAUCAACUCUUGUUGUUUUUUUGGAAUGGUGGGAGAGUAAAAAUUCCCUAAUUUUUAUUCAUGACUAGAAGUUUUUGAUGGGUUGCAGCUGUUCAAGCUAGAGGACGUGGCUGUUGGGAUAUGGAUAGAGCAAUUCAAAGAGCCUGGGACACAGCGUGAAGUACGUGGACGACGAGAGAUUUUACAUAUCUGGGUGUGAGCCAAACUACGUUCUGGCCCAUUACCAGACCCUCGGAAGCUUCUGUGUAUGUGGGAGAAGCUCCAAAAACAAAAACACCGCCACGACGGCGACCCUCCUAACUCCUGCUGUGACUGACUGAUCAUCAUUGUCCUCCGGACGCCGCUCGACAACUUACGGUGGUGUUACUUUUUGUGCUAGUCCAACAGCAGCAGCAUCAGAUGUGUGUUUUUGUUCAAGGAAUGACGUGUGAUUAUUAAAUGAAAAAUGAUAUUGGGUGUGUCGUGUGUGUGCGCGUGACUAGACUUCCACUCCGUCUCUAACAUAAAUUUUUUUUAAAAAAAAAUAAUAAUAAUAAAUUAUGAUCUAAUAACCAAGUAUAUAUUUAGGAAUAUCUUUUUUCUUUUGCAUGUCUAUAUAAAACUCCUCGUUACUGAAUUUAUUUAUAACCGCCUAUAUUUUCGUCUUUUACUUUUUAACCUUAUUUUGUAUUUUAUUAUUGUUUUAAUCUUCAUGAGUAUAAUAUUGAAAUAAAAGUUUUAUAUUUCCUCCAAGAUGGGCUAAACUAUCACGAGAAAUUAAAUGCCAAUCGAAGGGAGAUUCUUGAGAUUUUAAAAGUCUAUUGGAUGCUAAGUGAUGUUUGGAUUGUGAAUUAUUAGAGAUAUUUUUACUGUAGCACUUUUUGUGAUGUGAUGUAUGUGAGAUAAAAAGGUAAUUGGAAAGGGUAAAAAGGUGUAUUGGAAAUUGUAAUGAUGAUGUAAGCAAAUAAAUUUUGAGAAAUAAAGCCCAAUCCAAACAAAGCGAUAUUAUGCAAAAACAUUACGGGAGGUUUCAAGAAUCAUUAUUAUGGUCUCAAGUUUAUCUGAUCACUUGCCGUGCCGGACAUCAUACGCACAAAAUAAUGCUACAAUUACGUCAGUGCUCUUCCCCGUUUACGUUUCUUGAAAGGUUUGCCUUUUUACGUUUCUUGAAAAGUCGCUUUGUUUACUCCAAAAAAAAAA
rnacentral:lncRNA from 1 species